rnacentral:lncRNA from 1 species
GAAGGGCUGGUGGAGCUCGUGGUGGGGGAUGAGGACGGGCCAGGGCUCGCCGGCCUCGCGGAACAUCUGCUCGGUCUCGAGGAGGCGGCCGCGGUCGAGGAUUUGUUGUCGGAUGGCCUGCGCGGGUGUGGCGGCGGCGUCGAUGGCCUCCUCGACGCCGUUGACGUAGGUCACCACCACGCGCGGCGCCGCCCCCGCCUCCGCCAGGCGCUGCAGCUCCACCUGGCACGCCGGGUUCGACUCCUUCGCCCUCCGCGAUAUGCACUGCGCCAGCAGCUCCACGCACGCCGCCUUCCGCGGGUCCAGCGCGUUGUACUCCACCCGCACCCUCGACAGGUAUUUCAACAUCUCCCUCCUCUCUCCCUCCCCCUCCUCUCUCCCUCUCGCCCCUCUUUUCUCCAACUAUGUAGAAGCCCAAGGGGUGAAAAUUGCGGAUGUAGUAAUAUGGGCCGCAAAAGGCCCAAUUGUUUGCGGCCCAUAUAGAGGCCGGAUUUUGUUUUUGUUUUUUUGUUUUUGUAUUUCUUUUACGUUGUUCUAUUUUUUUAUCUUUUCCCGUCUUAUUCGUUUGUGUUUCAAAAAGGUUUGUUAAAAUUUUGAAUGUUUAAAAUUUAAACUGCAUCUACUUCCCUACACUCUGUAACUAGAUAUAUAUUUCUCUUCCCUCCCCAUACCACGUAAACAAACUAUAACCGUUACUCCUCAAAACUUACAGAUGUAGUAAUAUGGGCCGCCACAUAGAGGCCGGAUUUUGUUUUUGUAUUUCUUUUACGUUGUUUAUUUUUUCUCGCCUUAUUCGUUUGCAUUUCAAAAAGGUUUGUUGAAGUUUGAAUGUUUAAAAUUUGAACUGCACCUACCUCCUUACACUCUGUAACUAGAUAUAUGUUUCUCCCCCCUCCCUAUACCACGUAAACAAACUAUAGCCGCCACUCCUCAAAACUUACAGAUGUAGUAAUAUGGGCCGCCACAUAGAGGCCGGAUUUUGUUUUUGUAUUUCUUUUACGUUGUUUAUUUUUUCUCGCCUUAUUCGUUUGCAUUUCAAAAAGGUUUGUUGAAGUUUGAAUGUUUAAAAUUUAAACUGCACCUACUUCCCUACACUUUGUAACUAGAUAUAUGUUUCUCUUCCCUUCCCCAUACCACGUAAAUAAACUAUAACUGCCACUUCUCAAAACUUACAGAUGUAGUAAUAUGGGCUGCCACAUAGAAGCCGGAUUUUGUUUUUGUAUUUCUUUUACGUUGUUUAUUUUUUAUCGCCUUAUUCGUUUGCAUUUCAAAAAGGUUUGUUGAAGUUUGAAUGUUUAAAAUUUGAACUGCACCUACCUCGACCUACACUCUGUAACUAGAUAUAUGUUUCUCUCCCCUCCCCAUACCACGCAAACAAACUAUAACCGCCACUCCUCAAAACUUACAGAUGUAGUAAUAUGGGCCGCCACAUAGAGGCCGGAUUUUGUUUUUGUAUUUCUUUUACGUUGUUUAUUUUUUCUCGUCUUAUUCGUUUGCAUUUUAAAAAGGUUUGUUGAAGUUUGAAUGCUUAAAAUUUGAAUUGCACCUACUUCCCUACACUCUGUAACUAGAUAUAUGUUUCUCUCUCCUCCCCAUACCACGUAAACAAACUAUAAUCGUCACUCUUCAAAACUUACAGAUGUAGUAAUAUGGGCCGCCACAUAGAGGCCGGAUUUUAUUUUUGUAUUUCUUUUAUGUUGUUUAUUUUUCCUCGCCUUAUUCGUUUGUAUUUCAAAAAGAUUUGUUGAAGUUUGAAUGUUUAAAAUUUGAACUGCACCUACCUCCCUACACUCUGUAACUAGAUAUAUGUUUCUCUCUCCUCUCUAUACCACGCUAACAAACUAUAACCGCCACUCCUCAAAAUUCUCAAUUCGUCCUUUCUUACUAAAUUCUUUCCCCUCUUCCUGAUCUCACGAAACCACACCACACACUUCACACCACUGAUCGAAUUCUCCAUUUGUGAAUUUUCAAGUAUAUUCUCCUCCUCUUUUGAUGACCUCGGAGACAUCAACAAUGGAGAUCUCCGCGGCGGCGAAGAAAGAGGAAGCUCCGCCGGCACCUGCACCUGUGCCUGCGCCUGCGCGGUUGCCGCCGCCAUCGGAUAAUGGUAGUGCCGGCAGCAGGACGUCGUGGACGGGGAGAACGUCGCAGGUUCUGGUGAGAGCUUUAGCCUCGUGCUCGACGCUUGCCGCCACCCUCAUCAUUGCCCUCAACCAGGAGACUGAAGUCGUCGCCGGCUUCCCUAUGCACGCGGACUAUAAGUCGUCUCCUACAUUUAGGUGACACCACACACACCUAUCCAAAGUAAUUGCUCGCAUUUGGUUCUUCUAUAUCUUAUAUUCUAAGAUAUUCAAAUUAUUACCAUGCAAUUUAAAUUGCGCUAAGGACGGUGGAUAAAUUCAACAAAAAUUUUUUAAAAAAGUUUGAGCUAUAUAUAUAUCUGCUUGGUUUUUCGAAAUAUGAAUUGAGUGAAAAAGUGCGAGGAAGAUUGAAGUUUUUCCUAUUUAUUUUUUUUCUGACUGAAAAUUUUGAAAAAAAAUAGAUAUUUUUUUCUAAAAUUAUAUAAAACUAUUUUCUACUAAAAAAAAAUUAAGUUAAAUUAUAUACUUUUAAAAUUUUUUUUAAGCCUAUUAAUUUAUUAUCUAUAUAUUUUGGUUGCUUGUAUGCAGAUUUUUUCUUAUAGGGAAUGGGAUCACCUGUAGCUAUUCGCUGCUCUCCAUGUUUCUAGUGUGCCUUCUCGGAAGAAACUGUGUGUUUCAUUUGGUAGAUAUGGUAAUGUUCUUGUCUCUUUUUUUUCAAACAAAUUUUAUAUUAUUUUUAAAUGUGAAAAUAAAGUGAAAUAAUUAUUAUUUAAAAAAAAAAACUUAAACAAGUCUGAGACUUAAUAUUUAUAUUGAACAUUACAGACAUUCUAGUAGUCCUUUUAUAUAUUAAAGAAAUAUUUUUUAAUUUGAAUUUCAUAUUAUUGAAUGCGCAAAAUAGAUGGUAAGCUGUUAGUAAUAUAUAUAUGCCACCUAGUUUUAUUUAUUUAGAUAAUAAUUAGAAUUUAGUGUUAAUUUUCGAAUCAUGAUCAGUGUUACCAAUUUAUUUAUAUAAUUUCAAUAUAUAUAUAUAAUACUGAUAUAUAUAUAUAAUAGUUAUAUAUAUAUGUGAAUAUUUCUACAUAUCUGUAAGAAAAUUUUAUAUAUAUCCAUUAUUUAAGGAAGUUUCUAUAUAAUUAGGAGCAGCUUCAGUAGAAUUUUUUUUCUCUUUUUGAGAUAGAGAGAGAAAGAUAUAUAUAUAUUAUACUAUAUAUAUAUAUAUAUAUAGUAUAUUAUUCGUUUUGUUUAUUUCUUUUAGAAAUAAAUUUAGCGAAAAAUAUAACAUUUGCACUGGAGACUCUUGAUGAGUACGUAGAACAUAUUCGCAAUCAACUUCUUUAAUUUCUUGUAGUUGGCAAUGGGACUGGCGAUCGCCUCUGCAGCAGCAGCACACGCGAUAGGAAAUGUGGGGAAGUAUGGAAAUGAUCGAACAGGGUGGCUACCGGUGUGCAACUACUACAAGAGUUACUGCAAAAAAAUGGAGAUCUCCCUCGGUUGUUGUUACUUAGGCGUUCUCUCGCUUUACCUGGUAUGCGCUAUGACCGCGGUUCAAAAGGCUUCACAAAAUAGUAAAAAGUUCGUUCAAAAGGAGUAGCAACUACUAAUGCUAGAAACUUGUUUCUGUUUCUGUUUCUGCUUCUGCUUCUGCUUCUGCUUCGAUCUUAUAUUUUUAAUUCAACCAUCGGUAUUUACGCACUAGAUGGUUACUCUGGCUUGUUAAUAAAUUUAUUUCCCUGAGAAGUGAGAAUAAUUGUUGUAAGCCUUGUUAACAUUACAAACACUCUUUGCAUGCUUAAUUUCCUUUGUUUUUUUUAUAAUAUGGUUUUUAUUGAGAAUAUUCAUUUGCAUUUGUCUUGUUCAUGGCUAUUAGUUAUUGACUCUACGAUCUAAGUUUUCAUCAAUAUUUAUGAAUGAGUUUUCAUUUUAGAUUUUAGAUAAUCCUGUUAUGAUAUUCCUAAUAUUGCUACCAUAUAGUGAGAGUUUUAAGUUUUUAUGGAUAGAGUAAUAAGUUCAGUGUAAUUAGAGGAUAUAUAUAUACAGUGUUUAUCCGUACGAAAAUAUAUGAUGCAUAAUGCUGCAAAUAUUAUAUAAUUUUUUUGGGUUAUUUAAACUAGGAAGCUACAUAUGCGGAUCUUGGUAUUUUAUAUUAGGACAUUGCAAUUACCUUAGAACAAUUAUUAUUUUUCUCUAUAUCUCUUGUACUUUUAAGAGCAAUUAGAUGCUAAUUUACAAGUCCUGCUGUAGCAUUUAAUUUUAACUAUAAGAAGCAAACAAGUUUUUUUCCUUUUCACUUGUCAAUGAUUUAUAGAUAUUUAUUUUUGUCGUAGCUUGAAAUGCAGCAAAAUAAAUAAAUAUCUCCUCAAAUAAAAUGGUGCACUAUAUGAAGCAAUCGUUAUUCCUCUCAAAAAUAUCAUUAGCUACGAACGUGUGAUCCAUUAAUUAUUCACGCAUAUUUAUAUAUAAUCUUCAAAGACAUGCAUAGACUUUUAGUUGUUGUUAAUUUAAUCCACUUUGAAUAAUUAGAUUUUUAAUAAUUAGAACAGAAGAAAAAAUUGCCUAUUUAACACUGUAAAGUAGUAAAUUAACGAAAUAAUUUAUUCCUUUAACUAAGAGUUUCAUAAAUUAUUAUUUUAGCAUAAAAUGACCGUUAAUUUUAUUUUCAGAGAACCUUUUUAAAUUUUUUAUACCGUCGUUCUUUAUUCUUAAUUAAGAAUUCACAUUUUUGAACAUAAAGAUCAUAACCAUCCUAAUAAUGAAAAAUUAACUGUAAACUGAUAUAAAUCAGCUGAGGGGGGGAAAUUAAAAUUCAAAAUUCGAAACUUAUGAAACAUAAAUUUGAGAAUUAAAACAGUUGUAGAAUAACUUUGUAUUUUCCAAAAUUUGCGGAUUAUAUGCAAUGCAUUUGACUCUGCAAAGUUUGGAUUAGGUAAGUAUGUUAAACAUUUUAUUCUGAGGAAAAAAAAAAAACUGAUAAAUGAGACGAAACCGGUAGCUAGUUAGCAUUUAUUAAAAUGUUAAUUAAUUAAUUAAUAUCUCCUCAUUAGUCAAAGGUGUGUAACAACAUCGAAUUAUUAUAACAUAAUUAAUUAGUGUGCCUUAAUGUGGGAGCCCGAGACAUUUUUUAUUGACUUGUUAUUUAUAAAGUAUAUUGACUUGGGCAUGUGGCAUGAGUAAUGGUGCCCUUCUUUCAAUGAUCUUUAAAACUUAUUAAAAUUUAAAAAAAGAAAAUUAUGAUGGGCUUUGAUCUUAUUGACUUUCUCAGGGGAUGAAAAAUUACGAAUUCGAAUGAAUUUUUCAAAGAGUUCUAUUUUACUACUCAAACUUUUAAUCUAAACAACUGAUGCCCGUAACUUUCGAAAGUGUUUUAUUUUAGUCCAUGUAUCAAUCCACUUACUUCUAAUAGGAUGUGGUGUGAUGAUAAGGAUUAAAGUCCAGCACUUGCAGAAGUUUACGUGUUCGAAAGUUGAGGACCAAAAUAAGAUUUGUCCACAAACUUGUAACUUGAGGAUCUUCCUAACAUACGCAGACAUUUUUUUUUUGGUUGCAUAAUUUGAGAGGUGCCAACCAUGUCUACUCCCUUAAAACUGCUACCAAAAAAAAGAUCAGCUCCUUCUUUUUUCUUUUUUCUUUUUUUGAGAAAAAGAUAGCACACUACCCGCUUCAUUCAUUAGAAGAAUGAAUUAGGCUACAUGAGUGAGGUAACACUGGCCUCGAUGGGGGCGAAAAAAAAAAAAAAAAAAAAAAAAAAACUUAUAACAAACUUGCUGACAAAACUUGGUCCCAAGUCUUCGUCAGCUCCUUGUUUUUGGUUUUUUGUCUUUUUUGGCUUCCUUAUCUUUUGCACCCUCCUUAAUUACUAUUACAAUACUCUCUAGCCCUCUUUAUGUGGUCCAAUAUUCUCUUUAUUGGUCCUCCUAAUAAUUUGGUUUAAGGAUUCGGUUCUACAGCUUAAAUGAAUCCAGUAAACUAUAUGUGCUUUGAAGAUUAGAGAGCACAACUGCAUACAAGAAUGAAGACAACUGCAAGAAGCACAACUGCAUGAAAGUUCAAAUUUCUACUAACUUGAACUUCAGGUUUGUUAGGUGCUCUAUUUUUUAUGCUCUAUUUUGAACCCUUUUUUUUGUUCUGAAAAUUCGAUUGGAUCAUAUGGAGCUUUUUUUUUCCUUUGCAUUUUGGUGAAUCAUUUAGCAAGUUUCUUCAAUUUAAUUACAGGGUGAAAGGAAUUGAGUUUGGCCAAAUUUAAAAUGGCUAGAUCACAAAAAUCUUCUGUGACAUACACAAGGAUGUUUGUUUACAUGAUGGUGAUCAUUCUCGUUGCGGUCGUCGCGGUACUUCAGAGUUUAGCAUUUCCCUCUAAGAUUGCUUUCUCAUCUGCUCAUCCUCCGCUGGGAAUUACUUUCAUCGAAAAGGCGAGCUUAAUUCCAGAAGCUCCUUCGUUUCCGUUGUGGGUUGGAAAGCACUCCCUUUUGAGUGAUCGAAGCAAAUUUAUCACUUCAUCGACAACUCAACAAACCAAUAUAAUUGAUGUAGCAGCACAAGAAUUUAAUGAAAUGUUGGAAUAUGAGGAAGCGAGAAUUCCACUUGAAGAUGGCUCAUCCAACUUGGUUGAUAGAGUUAACACAACAAUUAUGAAAAGUAAGAACAAGAACAAGAAGAAAGAGAAGAUGGUAAUGCCCCCAGUUUACCUUUCAAAGAUGAAUCAAAUGCUGCUUCAGAAUCGAGCAUCGUAUCGUUCGACGGUAAGGGUCUAGAGCUGUCGAUUUCUUCGAGUAAAAAAGUACCUAUUCUGAGGUGCUAAGUAAGUUGAUGUUUUGUCUAAAAUGACAGAGGCCUCUAUGGUAUUCGGUACGGGACGACGAGAUUUUAGCCGCAAAGUCGGAGAUUGAGAAUGCUCCGAUUAUAACUGACGAUGAACAACUAUAUGUGCCGAUUUAUCGCAACAUUUCCAUGUUUAAAAGGUAUGUUACUGAAUACCAGUAUCAGAUUAUCCAAAAUGUAAUUAGUUGUGUUGGUAGCUAUCUAGUUAAGAGUUUUCGUAUUGAGCUAUAAACUGAAGGAAAGAGGGAAUGACAUGAUGAACUUAUGAAACAUUUUUGAAUGCGAGACACUUAUAAUUAUGAGAAGGCUAUAUGAUUAUUGCUAAUGUACUAAAAAAUGUCGAUAAUUUUAUUUUAGGAGCUAUGAAUUGAUGGAAAAAAUGCUUAAGGUGUAUGUGUACAAGGAAGGCGAUAAGCCCAUCCUUCACCAGCCACUGCUGAAGGGUAUAUAUGCAUCUGAAGGAUGGUUCAUGAAGCUAAUGGAGUCGAAUAAUCACUUUAUUGUAAAGGACCCUGGAAAAGCACACUUGUUCUACAUGCCAUUUAGUUCUUGUAUACUGAGAUUUCACUUGUAUGAUCCCGCGACGCACAAUCGGGGGCUUUUAGAGUGGUACUUGCGGAACUACGUCCAUACAAUUGCAGCAAAAUAUCCUUUCUGGAACAGAACAAGUGGCGCCGACCAUUUUCUCGCCGCUUGUCAUGAUUGGGUACGCGUCUUAGAUUUCGAUCUCUUAAUCUCACGAUUAUGUUUUCGUUAGAAUAGGUUAACAGGACAAGAAGAAGUAGUUAACGCAAUUCUUAUGAGCAGUUGAAUCAUAUUGCAUAAUCCCUACAUAUGAUAUAAAAGUUGCCUUCUUGUACAGGGGCAAGAUAAUUCUUAAGUACUUAGAUUGAGACUAGCACAACGAAAUGUGAUUUAUGUUCCAACUUAAGGGACUGAAUUUGUGAUUAAUCCAUUAUUAUUUUGUGAAUGAAUUGGCAGGCUCCAUCCCAAACUAAACUAACAAUGAAACACGCAAUCCGAGCACUCUGCUCCGCUGAUCUCCGCAACGGAUUCCGGCUAGGCAAGGACGUCUCGCUCCCUCAAACCCCUAUCCGGAAUCCGAAGCGCCCUCUCAUAAACCUCGGUGGGAGUCCGCCCCGCAAGCGGCCUACUCUCGCCUUCUUUGCAGGGAACACGCAUGGCGGCCUCCGGCUGACACUUCUUGAACACUGGGAGAACAAAGACCCCGACAUGAAAAUAUACGGUCCGGCGUUCCGUCGCGCCAGCACCAACAUGACUUACGUCGAGCACAUGAAGAGGAGCAAGUACUGCAUUUGCCCGCGGGGCUACGAAGUUAACAGCCCGCGGGUAGUGGAGUCCAUCUUCUAUGAAUGUGUUCCGGUGAUCAUUGCUGAUAACUACGUGCCGCCUUUUUUCGAAGUGUUGAAUUGGGAGGCGUUUUCGGUGACGGUUCCGGAGAAGGAUGUGAGUAGGUUGAAGGAGAUUCUUGUUUCGAUUCCGGAAGAGAAGUAUUUGUUUUUGCAGAAGGGGGUGAGGGAGGUGCAGAAGCACUUCCUGUGGCAUAAUAAGCCGGCGAAGUACGACGCUUUUCGCAUGAUCCUUCAUUCAAUCUGGUUCAGUAGAGUUUUCAGCAUAUGAACCAAGAUCAGAGGUGAAUUUUUAUCCUCUUCUUUUUUUCUUUUGCCCUGAAGAAAAAUGGUGAAAAUAGUGAAGAUGUAAUGGCCGUUAAGGAAACGGUUAGAAUAUAUAUAUAUAUUUUUUUCCUUUUUACUUUUUUCCCCCCUCCUCAAAAGAGUAGCACUGAGAUUGGCACAAGUAUUGCAAUACAGUUCCCGUACAAUGACUCUUUGUUCUCUCCCAUACGGAAUGGUCUCCGAAAGGAAACCAAUUUAAAUUUAACUCUAAAAUUACAAGCAAAAUAAGACACGGGGUGUUGAAUCAGGUUCACAAUAUAUUCGCCCGAAAAAGCAUUUUAAAUGACUAUGCUAAAAUUAUACAUCAGCAGUCGAAAAUUGGAAAAAAAAGUUACUUCUGAAAUGAAAAACACAAGAAGAUUCAUCUGCAAAAUUACGUAGGUCAUUUACUGAACAAAAAUUAAAUAGAUCAAACAGCUAAAUAUUGUAUCAGUACAAAAGUUACCUGUCUGUCUAAUUGACUUGCUCUCUUUCUCUUAUGCAGUAGUUGCACACUGAAAAUGCAAUUCUCUUUUUUUUUUUUUUUUUUUUUUUCUUUCUUUCUUUCUGAUUAGUUACUUUCAAGUAAUUUUACACGUUAAUUAAUCAACAGCUCUUUGGGAUUUUUUUUUUUUUUUUUUUUUUUUUUUGCCUUUUCUUUGUUCGAGUUAUUAUUUGGGCGUUCAAAUUUGAACUCCCUGGCUAAGUCCGUCAUCCGGGGGGCUAACGGAGAUCCACAGCAGCGAGACGGUGAUGGCGAGGAGCCCGGCCCAAACAUAGACGAUGGUGGGCGUGCGGCCUCUCCGGCCCAUGAGGCCCUUGGCAAAGGGGUACAUAUGGGCCAAGACCCAAAAGCUGAAGAAGACCCCUCCGAGCAGCUUGCUCCACUGCGGGAUCUCGCUGUAGACGGUGCGGGAGAAGCCUAAAACAAUGGCGACGAGGUUGAUGACGAUGAUGGCGAGCGGGGGGAUGAAGAGGCUGGUCCACUUGAUGACGUAGAGGUCGGCGUAGAUGUCGUCCUCGUCCUCGGAGGCGGACUUGGAGGUGAGGGUGAAGGAGAUCUCGAUGCCGGCGACGACCUUGAGGAGGCCCUGGAGGACGGCGGCGAGGUGGGCGCUGGUGCCGCCGAUGACCCAGAACUGCUCGUUGCGCCACCACUCCUCGAGGGCGAUGCCGGACCACUUGACCUCGAGGAGGGAGAGCAGCAUGAGCGUGAUGGUGAUGAGGAGGAGGUAGACGAGGAAGGUGACGUCGAGGGUUUGGACGAUGAAGUGGCCGGAGAAGAGGGAGAGCGCCGGGAGGAGGCAGUAGGCGACGAGGAAGAUGGAGGUGAAGGGGUAGAUGCCCACGUUCAGGUAGGCCACGCGCUGGAGGAACUUGAGCCGGGGCGACGCCAGCAGCGCGUUGUUCUUCGAGAAGAAGAUCUCCACCGACCCCGUCGCCCACCGCAGCACCUGGUGCAGCCGGUCCGUCAGGUUGAUCGGCGCCGUCCCCCGGAACGCGUCGCGCCGCGUGAUGCAGUACACCGACCGCCACCCCCGGUUGUGCAUGCGGUACCCCGUCACCACGUCCUCCGUCACCGACCCGUAGAUCCACCCUACCCUGUCCCCCCACUCCGUCUUGUCCUCGUACCUACGUACGUACGUACGUAUAUAGUAGUACGUACCAUAACACGACGCAGUUAUUAACAACGCAUGCAUGAAACCCAACAAAUGAAAUGACUUAAUUACUCGAUCGGAAUAUUAGUAAGUAAUUCUCACCAGCACGAGAUGACGGAGACGGCCUCCGCGACGGUGGGGGCAUCGAGGGGCGGCCGCGGCGCCAGCAACGCCCCGGGGGGCCGCCCGUUCUUCACCGAAGGGUGAUCGGCCAGCGGCCGCCCCUGGUACUCGGCCACCGCGAUCGACUCGACGAACAUCUUGGAGUUCCCGAACUUGUUCGGUCCGUCCAGAUCCGGAUGCUCCGCUAGCGGCUGCCCCCCUCCCUCCCCCUCCUCGUCGCCUCCCCUGACUGCCCCCGGCGCCACGGCGGGCCUCUUGUGCUGCCCGUAGAGCCCCAGGUACUCGUUCGCCCGCGGCGGGUUGAAGCCGUAGAGCGCGUACCGCCGGAACAAACACCCGGUGCCGACGUACAUGGGCCCCUGCAGCCCGUCGAGCGCGCGCAUGUUGCCGUCGAAGAACACCGUGUUGUGGUUUGCGUAGCGGUCGGAGGGGUCGAUCCCCUCGAACCGCUGCGGGAACUGAAUGUAGCAGAUGCGGUCGCCGCCGCGGUCCAUCAUGUAGCACAUGCCUUCUCUUAUGGCCAGCGAGUUGUAAAUGUAGUGGUCGCAGUCAAAGUUGAGGAUGAAGGGGCCGUUGGAGAGGAUGGCGGAGGCGCGGACCAGCGCGUUCAUGGCGCCGGCCUUCUUGUUGUGGUCGUAGCCUGGGCGCUUCUCGCGGGAGACGUAGACGAACAUCGGAAGGCGGGUGUCGACGCCGGUGAAGUCUAUGUACGGGUGGUCACCGGGGGCACCGGGGAUGGGCUCAAAAUGCGGGGUCUUGAUCAUAACCUGCCUUAAAUACAUACUAGUAUAAGCACCGUUCUCUUGCAGUUUUAUUUUUUGAAUUGUAGAUUCAAGCUAAUUGAUUCUGAACCUUGCGUUACCUAAUAUAUUAAUUUAUCAGAACAAAGAAGUUCUGGAUUCGAAUUCCAUCCGAGUCUUAGUUUUAUUUAAAAUCUUUCUAUUUAAUUCAAAUCUGCGUCUUGCAUUGUGCAAUACUGUAUGCUUUAUCGGCCCAAGUUUUUAGAGUUAUUAACCUGUAGGAUGCCGGCGUGGUCGCCCUUGGAGUGGUCAGGGGAGGGGGGGGCCCAGGUGCCGGGCCAGUGGGUGGAGUCGGCCAUCCAUACGGCCUUAGGGGGCAGCUUGGCGGGGUCGAGGGGCUCGCCGCGGUCACGGGCGAGCUUCUUCUCAUGGAGCUCCUCGCGGGAGUUGAGGCCGUCGGAGCGGCGGCGGAUAGCGUCGGGGAGGCCGUUGAUGCGGACCUUGAACUCAUCGUACUCCCGCUUGAUCCACCGCCGGUCCUUCACGAAGUCCGGCCGCUUCUUGUUCUUCGUCGGGUCGCCCUGCACCGCGAAGUACGAAUCCGGGUUCCGGGGCUCGAUCGAGUGUUUCCGGCAGAACGGAACCCACACCUGCUCGAUUAUGCAAAACGUGCAUGUAUGGUUCAAAACCAUAAUAACGUUUCAAUUUGAUCAUAUACAGUGUGAUCUCAUUAUAAAAAAAUAACACUAUGUAAUAGAUGACAUUUAGUUGAUCCUACCAAUUCCAAUUUAGUAUAAGAUCAAAUUUAGUUUGGCUCUACUACUUUAAAUUUUUGGAGAAAAAUGAUUAUUGUAUAAGACCUGGGCAAAGGAAGCGGCCUCGGCCAUUGCCUCGAAUGUGAGAAGGGCGGCCCCAUCGUCGGAGAUGUAAAUAGAUAGCUUCUCGACGGGGUACUCGGUGGCGAGAAUGGAGAGUAAAGUGUUGGCCGUAACAAGAGGGGGUUCCUUCUCGGGGUCGGCGGUGGAAAUGAAGACAUCGAGGCCGGGGAGGUCGGAGCGGCCGUGGGGGUUGGAAGGGGAGGGCGAUUCGAAUUUGUCACGGAGGGCGGCGAGAUCGGCGGCACGGUUGAUGGGGUUCAGCUUGGGAAGUUGGUCCAGAAGCCAGGAGAAGGCGAACCAGAUCUCGCACACGAUCGAUAUCCCCCACAGCCACAUCGCGUCCUGGUUCGGAUUCCGGAUGCGCCAUGUCAAGAACAGGCUCAGCGCCACCAGCCGGACCAAAACUAGCAGCCUGCAUCAUUUCUGUCACUGUCUUAGAUUCCGCGCUCCUUGCAGUACAGUUUUAAUUUGAAAGUUCGACGUAAUUUUCAAGUCAUCCUCAAAUUCAAAUUUUAUGUUCAAUAUUCAAGUAACAUUUUCUAACAGCUUAAAUUUUAGAAGAACAUCAUUAAUUGAUGAAAGAAAGAAGGCAUUACCUAUAGGGACUUAAUACUCCAGCAGGGAUCUUCACCUUCCUGGUGAGGGGCUUCCAUGGCUUGUCCAUGAAAUCCGACAUGCUCAUCCCCACGCCGUCCUCGUCGUCGUAGCCCCCGCCGCCGUCCUGCGGCCAGUACGCGUUCCCGAUACCGUACGUACCCUUCGUCUCGAACAGCCACCGGUUGUGAUCGAAAUCCCCGGUCUGGCUCCGCAGCAGCAGCGACUUGUUCGCAUGCAUGACCGUCGACAUCCUCCGGUCCAGCUUCGACGACGACGGCCCGCCGACUCCCCCCUCGUCCCUCCCGCCGCCUCUCCGCCCCGUCAGCUUCGCACCGUUGGGCCCGUAGGGUGGUAGGGGGAUGUCGUUGGGCUUGGAGGAAGAAGCGGCGGCGGAGGAGGAGGAGGAGGAGGAGGAGGUUGCACCGGUGUAGGGCUGGUUGUCGGGGGUCGGCGGCAUGAGGACGGUGUAGUUGACGUAGUCGUUGCCGCCGCCGGAGGAGGUGGACGUCAGCUCGGAGGCGGCGAGGCCGAGGUCGAUCUCGUCGUCGCGCGACAGGCUCACGAUCCGCCCGCUCGACGUCCGCCGCGCGAACUUGAUCGGCGGCUUCUUCGGAGACGACGACAUUGUGUGAUCCUCCUCUACGCCCUUCUCCCUUCCUUCUCCUCCUCCUAUAUAAUCAUUGAUUUGCGGGCGAACUCAGUCGAAUCAGAGGUAAUCUUUUUUUUCUUUCUUUUUUUUCUUUUUUUUUUUUGUUUCUAAUCUCUUAGAUUCGUGAACAACUCGGAGGGGACGAAGGGGGGAGAGAGAAGGGUGGUUUGCAUGAGGUGGCAGGAUUUUUCUUUUCUUGUAGUGCGUGGUAAGGAGUGAAUUGCGAGAGGGAAACGCUCGCAUUGUGUUGCGGUAGGGCGACGGUAGCGGCAAAAAGUAGGAGGUUUAAUUGGGCUCGGUUCAUUCACGACCCACCAAUGUUUACACAUCCAAAAGUCCCAGGUUGGGAUCCAAAACUCCAAGCCCAUUAAAACUGUUUUAAUGGGCCGAUUCGCACCAUCUGCUUUGCAAAAAAAAAAAAGAGUCUGGACCCAAACCCAAGCCCAGACCCAUGGAGUCCACAACGAAUGAGGGCAAAAUAGUCAUUUCCCACCAGUCCGCCCAAACCCUAGAGUCCUCCUAUAAGAUCCUGAACCUUCGUCUCAGCCACGCUUCUCUCUUCAGAGCCGCAUCCGCCCCCCUAAUCUCUUUCUCUCUCUCUCUCUGUCUCUCGUCGGCCACAUCCAAUCCAGUACAGACAGCCAUGGUGAAGUUUCUGAAGCCGGGGAAGGCGGUGAUCGUGCUGACGGGGAGGUUCGCGGGGCGGAAGGCGGUGAUCGUGCGGGUGUUCGAGGAGGGGACGCGGGACCGGCCGUACGGGCACUGCCUGGUGGCGGGGGUGGCGAAGUACCCGAAGAAGGUGAUCCGGAAGGACUCGGCGAAGAAGACGGCGAAGAAGUCGCGCGUGAAGGCGUUCCUGAAGGUGGUGAACUUCUCCCACCUGAUGCCCACCCGCUACACCCUCGACGUCGACCUCAAGGACGUCGUCACCCUCGACUCCCUCCAGUCCCGCGACAAGAAGGUCUCCGCCUGCAAGGAGGCCAAGGCCCGCUUCGAGGAGCGCUUCAAGACCGGCAAGAACCGCUGGUUCUUCACCAAGCUCCGAUUCUGAUCCUCAUCCUCAUCUCCGUUGGUACCCAUUUCACUCUCCUUCUCCUUUUCCCGAUUCUUCUUCUUCUUCUUCUUCAUCUUUAUCGUUGUCGUCGUAGUCGUCGUUGUGUUUUUGCGUUUGCGUUUUGGAUCGACUCUGUGGAUGUUAAUCGGAUGGAUAAUGUCAGGUUCAGGUUAAGCAUCUACUGAAGGAUUUUAAUUAUUAGGCUUUAUUAUUACUGCUCUUUACGGUUUCGCUGGAUCUGGAUGAUGAGUUUUUAUGUUAUAGUUAUUGUUAUGGAUCGAUCUAUUGAUGUCAAUCGGAUAAUGUAAGGUUCGGAUUAAGCAUCUGGUGAGGCUAUUUUUUGUUCUUCUUCUGGUUCUCUCUCUCUCUCUCUCUCUCUCUCUCUCUUUGUGUUGGAUUGAUUUUAAUUAGUAGGGUUUAUUACUGCCUUUUGGGGUUACCACUUGAUAUGGAUGAUGAGUUUUUAUGUUAUAGAUAUUUUCAUGAGAUGUUUGGUUAGUUUUGAAGCUUAUUCUGUGCUCCUGUGCUUUGUUUACCGCGGUAGUUUGAUGAAUUUUGUUGUUAGUAUACAGUAUUGGUACUUGGUGAUUGUGAGGCUUGUUGUGUGAAAUGGUAAUAAUAUCCUGAUUUAUAUAUGUUGAUUACAUUAGUUAACUGACUUAGAAGAGUGUCUAGAAAGAUUUAAUCUGUUGAGAUUUUGUCAUAUACCUGUUGAGAUUUGUGAUGUUUGAAUUGUCUCUUCUUUCGGCACUGUUUCUGAUGUAUACUCAAUUGUGGGUUGAUGGUGUUCUUCGAUGCUAUGCUGUUUUGCUAAGGUCCGAGGAUUCCGUUAUCAAAUAGCAGGUUGUGUUGAAAUCCUCUAGAUAAGCUUGAUUUAUUAUGUAACUGACUAAGAAGGUCUUAUUAUAAAUUUUGAUAGUUUGCGUCGUUAGAUCUAAUGGAUUUCUUCUGUGAAUCUGAUAUCCACCUGGUUAAUCGGCACUUCUGCUGGCGUUGAUUAUGAAAGUGCAAUAGAUCAUGCAGUUGGAGCUGUUCUCCUUGUCGAUCUUAUACGCAUUAUUUGUUGUAUCUUCUACUCUUGUUUUGUUCUCUCUUAACAUGGUAGAAAUGCCUUUUGCCUCUAGAAGAUACAAAACACUUUCAUUUCAUGGGUUCUAGCUAAUUAGUUGAUAUCCCCACAGUUGUGCAAAUUUACUCAACAUUCUUGUAGGAAACUGGUUUCGUUAGGUUUUUAGUAGGGGUGUAAACGAUCCGAACACGAGCAAGCUGGGGUCGGCUUGUUUUAUAAACGAGCCGAACACGAGUUAGCUCGCGAACAGCGAACUGGAUUGCCACCCCUAGCUUUUAGGCUGAUUUAUCGCCUUAUGGUAUAACUUCUGUAAUUGUUGAUGUUCAAUCAUUGAAGAUCGUCUCUUGUUUCUUUUGAUCAUAUAGUCCAUACAUCCAUGCAAAAACAUGGCAUUUAUACUUUUCAAUAAGUCAUUCCACCUUUUCCUCUGUUAUUGACUAGCAUUAUUCCACAUAUAAAUGUUAGCUCUCUAGUAUUCACCAUCAGUGUCAGAUCCUCGAUGACCAGAAUUUCGGUUGUUCUUUUCCUGUGUUUAUCUUGUAAUAACUGUUGAAACCACAAAUAUGUUGAAAAGAAUGUUUCUGUUCAAAAUGGCUUAUGUGAAUACAUCUACCCCCCUUUGGGUUUUGGGCUAAUCUCAAAGUUAAAAUAUGGUUUGAUGCUUUCAGCAGUUGCUGGUUAUGUUUCUUUGAGAACCACAGUAUUUGGAAUAUAUCAUCGAUGAGAUUAACAUAAUUUGUCAAUCUUUCUAGAAAGGGGAUUGAUAUUGCCAAAGUUAGUUUUGGUAUCUUCAGGGAAGAUGCAUAAUGUCUAGCCAUGGUUUGAAUUUUUUUAUUUUUUUGGCUUAUGCAAUAUCAAGAAUAGUUUCCUUCUAGAAAACCUGCCUGCAAAUUGAUUAUCCUGUGAUAGCAAUCACUAGACAUUUGGGGAGAUAAAAAGAAGUUGAAACUUAAAAAGAGCAUUAAAAACACUACACUUCAUUUAUUCUUUCGAUACUGUUGCCCUUCUGCUUCGCACUCAUGGACACAGUUGUACUUGUACAGCCUAAAGAGCCUUCCUGUUCAACCAAGGUCGGAAUUCACUAAUAAAACUUUGGAACCGUUUUGAAUUUUAUCAUCACUUUAUUAAUUAGCAGCGAGUCCUUUUCCUGCUUUGGCUCUUUUUAUUAUUAUUUUAUAGCAUUAAAAUAAAAAAUAUCAAGGCUAAAUUAUAAAAAAUAUUUUUGUUAAUACCUUUUCUUCUUCUUUCUUUUUCUUUUUUUUUUUUUUUUUUUUUUUUUUCAAUAAUUUACGCUUUGUCUCCUUAAAAAAUAAAAAAAUAUUCAUUCUCCCCACUUCUCCAGCACCCUCCCCCCUUCAUUUCGGCAAUUGUAGAGAAAAAGAUUGGGAUGGACGUGGAUGGAGAGGUGAGCGAGUGGACGUCGGUGAGAAAGAUGUAAAAAAUAGAAUAUCAAAAGUAUUUUGGGUAUAAAAGGUAAGAUAUAAAUAAAAUUCUAACAGAACACUGAUGGCAGGACUGAAGUAAAUAUUUUUUAUUUUUUUAAGGACAGAAGAGUUUUCUGUAAUUUAGCCAAAUAUAAAAAUUUCAAAUCAGGCCUAAUGGAUAAAAAAUAGGGAAAACUUCAAAAACCCCCCCUGUGGUUUCGUGCAUUCUCACUUUGCUACCCUGUGGUUUAAAACGUAUCAAUUUAUCCCCCUGUGGUUUCAUUUUUAUCUUUUCGGAAGCUUUUUCGUUAAUAUUUCGUUAAAUUAUAUACAAAAAAACUUCAGAUAACCAUCUAUAUUUAUCGAAUAGUCAUUUUAGUAUUCUUUAAUUUUAACUUUGUCACUGAUUUUAAAAAAAAAUAAUAAUAAAAUUGAUAACAAAAAGAUAAAAACGAAACCACAUGGGGGCAAAUUGAUACGUUUUAAACCACAGGGUAGCAAAGUGAGAAUGCACGAAACCACAGGGGGGGUUUUUGAAGUUUUCCCAUUUUAAUACCGUGGGAAGUCACUCUUAAUACAAGAAGUUUGUGUUCUAAGCAGCUGCAUGACAAUCUUUACAAGGAGGCAAUAAUUAUUGACCAUGCAAAUAAUCAAUUAUCAACUCUUCAAGAAAGGAAUUGUAGGUUGCAAUCUCUAUCGCCUCCAUUUUGAUGGAGCAAAUUUAUUGAAGAAAAAAUAAACAUGGCUAAGCUCCCGAUAUGCACUAAAGGGUAAAUAAACAAACCCAAGUUUCUAAUUUACUCUAAGAAUAAGAAUUGUUACCUGGUUAGUGAUCCGUUUAGUAAAUUAUAGCAAGUUUAAGAAACGCAAGAGCACAAAACAUUAGGGUUCAUGGAAUACUAAAUUUUCAACGAACAGUAUGAGUCAGGCAUUUGCACAAACGUCUUAAGAGCAAGAAAAUUUAUCUAAGAAAUAACAUAGGAACCUGAAGAGAGAUCACUCCUCCUUUUCCUCGCCUUUCUCCUCGUUACCCUUCUUCUCCCCGGCCCCGAAGUCGAGCACGAACCCUUCCCACUCCUCCGACCCCUCCUCCUCCUCCGGGCCCUCCGCAUCGACACCGGUCUCGCGCUUCUCCUCCUCCUCCACCUCUUCCUCGUCGGCGUCGGACUCGGACGACUCCAUCUCGGGGCGCGUGGGUGGGAUGCGGUGGCGCAUGCGGGCGUAGCCGCGCGGGAGGAGCCCCUUCGAGAUUGGGCCGUGGCCAUGGGUGGGGACGGGGAUCGGAGGAUGGAGCACGGCUGGGGCCAAGGAGAGUCGCCUCCGCAGCGCCGCCGCCCACGCGACGGCCGAGGAGCGGAGCAUCAUCUCAAUCGAAGAAGGGGGAAUGGAGGCUUUGAAUUUUGAACUGAAACUGGCGCGCAGUAACUUAGCCAAAUUCUGGUGCCACUUCUACUUUCUAUUACUUAUUCAAUCAUAUGAAGUUGCAGGGAACGAAGGUCAAACUCGGGGUUUUUGCCUUACAUGGUUGAAAUAGUACUUAAUUGCAGCUAAAUAGAACAAUCUUAGACAAAAUACAAGUUUACAUAUUGUAGAAUUUUUUAACAUAAGCAAAAAGACUAUUCUAUAUCGAUAUAAUCUCAUCUAAUUCAACUGCACAUGAUCGAAUAAGUUACUUAGGUGUAACAAUAUGUUUCUCUAAUUACUUUGCAUUUACAAAGACAUUAACCAAACACCCUCUGGUCAUCUUUUGAGCACAUAAGAUAAGCUUCUCUCCGCGCAAACAACUGUAGAUCCAGCAACUAUGGUAAAACCAAAUGAAAUAAUUAUUCGCAUAUUUGCGUUCAUUGUAUAACUUACAACUAAAUAACAUCAAAUUUCAGAUAUUAAAUAUGACUACAAUUAGGUAGGAAGAUUAAGUUAAAAUAAAUAAAUUAAUCGUUGCUUCCCAAACUACUACUUAUAAUUCACUCCGAUUCACUUUGGUUCUGCCGAACUAAGGAAUCUUUUUGAUAUUUAUGGAAGCCAAACAGAAAAACACUUACAAUUCUCCAAUGAUUAAUCCCCAAUAAUUAUAAGCAUUAUUAGUUCCAUUCCAAAUACGAACCAAAUGACUCAAAACUACGCAGAGAUCGAAAACGUUAAAAAGGAACAACACGACACGACACAACACAACACAACUCGACACAGCACAGCACAACACAACACAACUCGACACAGCACAGCACAACACAACACAACACAACACAACACAACACAACACAACACAACGCUUAGUAUUGCGAAGACUCAAUCGGAGUCGUCCGAAAUUUCAUCCGGGAUAUCGUCCAUCUCGCCGUCGAGGUUCUCCUCGUCGUCCUCGUCGAUGUCCUCGCCGUCGUCCUCGUCAUCUACGUCGUCGUCGUCGUCGAAGUCCUCCUCCCCUCCGCGCGCGCGGGCGUAGCGGCGGGAGAGGUCGAGAACCGGAGGGAGAGCGAGGUAAACCGGCCGGUUCUGGAUAACCGGGCGCGGGGAGAAGACGAACCGCCGUGCUGCAGAGAACGCGAUCGCCGCCGCCGCACGCUGCAUCUCUGUAUCGCUCUGCUUAGGGUUUCUACGCAGGGGGAGUGGGGUUCAGCUUCUAGGGUUUAUGGUUGGGGUUUAAAUAGAACAGCAAAGUAUGACGUGCUCGAAGCUUCCCGAGUGUUAAUGGCCCGCGUUGACCAUGGGCCUUCGAGUAUAUUUUGGGCCCAUUAGUUCGUUAACAUUAAGGACUGUUUGGUUCGUAUAUUUUGGAUCCGGAAUGAGAAUUGGUUUGAUCAAAUCCUGCUAAUUUUGUUUGGUUUACAGGAAUCGAUUUGAGACUCCCAUUUUGGAUCGGAAUUGGAAUGGUCCAUUAACUUACAAAUUGAUUCUGGUCUCCAAGUUCGAAUUGAAGUUUCAAUUCCAAGCCCACACUCACCUCUUCCUCAAGCCAGCCCCACAUUUUUCCAUUUUAUCCAUCAUUUCUCUUCUUAUAUCUAUUUUUUAUUAUAAUUUUAUUCAAAAAAAAUUUAUGCAUUUUUUGUAAUUUUUUGCAUAAAAAUUUUUAAAAUAAAUUCAUUUUUUUUUGGCAUAGCUCUAACUUGAGAGUAGUAUUAUUUUUUUUAUAUAUAAAUUUUAGAUGGUUUUAUAAAAUCACAUUUAAAAGUAAAGAGUAAAAGCUGUUACCACCUUUUAAUUACUCAAAUUUAAAUGACACCUCUACAAGAACUGUAGCUCUGCUGAGUAAGAUUAUGCCUGGAAAUUCUUCAGGAAGCAGGAAUGGCUAGUCACUGAUGAUUAUUAGCAGAAUAAUCUUCAGAUUACAGGUAAAGAAAUAGCGCACAACACGGCAGUUUACAGGUAUCAAGUUCAUUAAAAAUAAGGAACAUGAUAGCAGUGUAAUAGCAGUCUAUUAACCGCCACACUGAUAGACAGACGAAAGUGGAUGUAUUUACUGGAGGUUUUAAUUUGCCCCUGACGAUCAUCCUUUCUUUGGCAUUGCAGCAAGUCGUGUAUACAUCCUCGCCAUCGAUCGGUAUCCUCUGAUGUCGCCAGAUCGCAGAAGAUUGCCUGGAUAAGCAAAAGAAAAGAAAAAGGGAAAAAAAAAAAGAGAGAAGAUAAUUAGAAAGUUCAUAGGAGAGCAAAGACAGACUCUCAGAAAUUUAUGUAUUACACUUGGGCGAUAUUGGUAAUUUGCGAGACUCUGGUGAAAGUUUAAAGUUUAUGGGCCAACUAAUACCAAGUCCCAGUCAAAGUUCGUAAGCUUCAGGAAUUUUGAAAAGAAAAAUGCUUAACUAAAAGCAUGGCUUUGAACUAACCUGAAUCACAAUUGAGAGGACUAUCCGCUUCUGGAUGCGCCAUCAGAGCUAUUAUAGCUCUGCAAACAGAUUGGAGGGUCCACGCAGGGCUCCAAGCAUUCUUCAAGAUAUCCAGGCAUAUCUCCCCAGUCUAAAAAUAUAGAGAAUAACUGAGUAUUACAAUAAUACCAAGCUUUUAGCUUAAAUUACUGGGUUAGAAUGGCUACAUAAUUCAUUAGGUAAUCUAGGGCAGGCACCUUGCAACGCAAUACGAGACAAAGGAAUCAAAAUUCAACCAGAAAAAGACGACAGAGAAGCCAAAAAUGAGAAAAUUCUACUGCUUAUAAAACCUGCCUAGAGUGCCUAUAGUAAUCCUCCCAAUCUAUAGAACUAGCAGAAUAUCUCGAGGACCAAUAUCAAAUAAACCUGCCUGGAAUGCCUAUAAUCUGUCUUAUUUUUAAGACAUGUUUCUCAGCCCAUAUCCCCUGAUAAGAAAAUAAGGAAAUGAGGGCUUUGAAAUAUAACUUGUUAAUCUAAGCUAAGUGUGGUCAAGAAACAAGAUCCAUUAAGAAGUUUAUAAUGAAUAAAUAUGACUUUCUGAUUCAACUCAAUAUUAACUUGCUACGGCCUGAAACUUGAUGCAUCUGCGAUCAGAUGAUGUAGACCAUAGCAAUUAUACUUCAUCUUGUCCACCUUUUUAGCGUAAGUUCCAUAAAAUCAGACAUUGGACUUUCCCUGUAGCAGCCCAAGCUACUUAAUAUUGAGUUACGCGGACGAGCGAAGUCCGCCCCGAGCUCCUUCAGGGGAACUUCAAGUGCCUCUUGUGGGAACGUUGCGAAGAAUGUGGAGCAGCAGUUUAAGUAUACGGAAGUAGGCGGCCAAAAUUUUCCUUAACAAUUGAUUUAUUUGUUUAAUUAUUUAAUUUUGUCAGAUCAUUUCACGUCGCCGCAAAAGUUUAGCAUCUGAUAUCGAUAGUAAUUUUAUGAUUCUCUGCAGCCUAUUAUCUGCACGAACGCGACGUGUCAGAACCGAGCUAAGUGGGCUCUUCUCCGGCAAGAGAGCAAGUUCACAGAUUGGCAGAGGGUGCGGAUGUAGGAGACUUCGAAGGAGAUUCCUGCCGAGUCUCUUCCCCGGUCGUUGGAUGUCAUUCUGCGACAUGAGAUGGUUGAGAAGGCGAGAGCCGGGGACACGUAAGAAUAACUGAUUCCUAUGUCUACCGUGUAAUUCGAGCCCCAUUUCUGGCCUGUUUGGCCUGAUUAGAACUGCCAUAGAAGUGCUGUUUGAGCGCAUGUUCGGAUAAGCACUACUUCUUGGUUAAAGUCUCUACCCUUCUAGAGACUUAAGAUUGAAUCAAACUAGAGCUGCUGGGGAUACAUAAGAAUCACCGGUUCCUAGUUUAGGGUUGUUGUGUGCCACUAGCCUAUUUCUGACCUGUUCGGCCUGAUUGAGCUGCUGUAAAAGAGCUGCUUGCUUACAAGUGUGUGCAAGUGUGCAGAUAAACUCUAGACUUUUGUUUGUCAUAUGCCUGGCUUUUGCUGCCUUCCCAUUAGAAGAGUUGUUCCGGGAGCUACAUCAAACCGUCGUGUAGUCACUUAUUCUAAUACCUCCAAUUUCGCUUUUUAUGUAGGGUCAUCGUCACAGGCACGGUGGUUGCUAUACCAGAUGUGAUGGCAUUAACUUCCCCUGGAGAAAGGGCAGAGGUCCGGCGGGAAGCUUCUCAGCUUCGGAAUGGAGGCAGCAGUCAUGAAGGUGUAAGGGGUUUGAAAUCUUUGGGAGUAAGAGAUCUCUCGUAUCGCAUUGCUUUCAUAGCAAACUCAUUGCAGGUUUGAAGAAUUUGGACUAAUUUGAGCUGCGAUUUCAAAUUUGAAAGUUUUCAUGACAUCGCUCUUAUUUAUUGCUGUUUUCUUCUUGAAUUUCUGCAUUUUUGAUAUCUAGGUGGCAGAUGGUAGGAGAGAUGGCGACCUUAGGGACCGAAAAUUGGAUAGUGAUGAUACCGACAGACAAGAAUUCAUUGUAUGUUUUGAUUUUGAUAACCAUUUAUAAUAUAUUUUCUAUGAGGUUGUUACGAAUUGUGGGCUUAAGUUAUGGCAUGGAUAAAUUAUCGCAGAAAUACAUCAGAAUUAUAUAACUGCUUUGCGAUCAUUUUAUCAAAUAUCCAAACGUUCUUUGGUGUACUUGUUAUUUAUCUUUGCAUUAACCUUUAUAGACGGAGUAAAUGUGAGCCAUUUCAUUAUAACAUUUGACUAACAAGCAUUUUUUUGUAUUAAGAUUUUACUCCACACUUCUCCAUAUGUGGCCCUUGUGGCUACAUUUGUCAAGCACAUGCAUGAAAGUUAGUAUUUUAUUAGGCUAUUAAAAAUUUAAAAAAAAAUCUAACUACACUGCAUUUCUUGUCAGCAAGAAGAGGAAGAGGAGGUUUUCAGGAUGAGAGACACUCCUGAUUUUUUCAAUAAGCUUGUUGAUAACAUAUGCCCUACUGUUUUCGGUCAUCAAGAAAUUAAAAGAGCAGUCCUCCUUAUGCUAUUGGGUGGUGUUCACAAGAUUACACAUGAAGGAAUUAACCUCAGAGGUGAUAUUAAUGUGUGUAUUGUUGGAGAUCCCAGUUGUGCAAAAUCCCAAUUCCUGAAGUACGUUUCAUUUUGACCUUAAUUCAUCAUACUUGUUGCUUUUUCUCAUCAAUGUCAGAAGUUGAUAUGAUGUUUGCUUUCUCAUAAAAUCAGAAAAUAUAGUUGAUCGUAAUUCUUAUUAAUGAAGUGUUCUAUCCUUUUGCAAAUGCUGUCAAGCACAUUAUUCUCAUCUUGGUUCUGAUUAUUGUUUAUCAGAUACGAAGCUGGCCUUGUUCCACGGUCUGUUUAUACGUCAGGAAAAUCCUCAUCGGCUGCUGGUUUGACAGCAACAGUUGCUAAAGAGCCAGAAACAGGGGAGUUUUGUAUUGAGGUAGUAUUGUUUGCUAUUGAUUUCUUCGUCUUCUUUUCUUUUGGCACCUCUCUCUCCUAAACUCCAACAUAGCAGUAGAAAACUGAAGUCAUGUGUAGUGUUCAAUUUUACAUGGUUAAGGAUGUGGUUUAUACAUUUUGACUAUACCUGAAUAAUGGAGGAGUUAAAUGGAUUUUUUCAGUUUUAUGUCCAAUCAACAUAUACCUUAACACUUCUUGUGAAACUUAUUUGGUUGGGUUUUUGUGUUUAGUGUUUGCUGUGAAUACUGGUUCUUGAUAAUCAUACUAAUCAUAUUUGGCUUAUAAUUUAUUCAACAAAAUCCAACUUCUAAUUUCUAUCUAAAUGGAAAGGAAAGCUUAAAAUGUGAUAGCUGUUGAACCAGUGCAGAGAUCAUUGCAUUACAUUGUCUUUUAUUUCAAGCUUUUCCUUUUUAAAUGAUUGAUUAUUAUGCCACUGAUAUACUUUUGCUUCAUGCAGGCUGGCGCACUUAUGCUGGCUGAUAAUGGUAUAUGUUGCAUUGACGAAUUUGAUAAGAUGGACAUUAGGGAUCAGGUAUAUCUUUUGUUAUUUUACCAGUGUUUGGAAACUUAACAUAGGAUUUAUUUUUCUUUCAAGAUGACCUGUGGAUUUCUUACUUGAUCUGUCGAUGUUAAGGUUGCCAUACAUGAAGCAAUGGAACAACAGACCAUUAGCAUAACAAAAGCUAGCAUACAAGCAACUCUAAAUGCUAGAACUGCUAUCUUAGCUGCAGCAAAUCCAACAUGAGGACUCUAUGACAAGACCAAACCCCUCAAAGUAAGCCUCAAUAAACUGCAAUCGUCAGCUUCUGCUUCCGUGGUAAAAAACUUUAAUAUUUAACUUUUUCACGAGCUAUUUGUGUAAAGCUUUGUUGACCGAGAUAAUGCUUGAUUUGUGAUGUUCAUCUGUUUCUUCUGUACCAGUACAAUGUGGCCCUUCCUCCUAUUCUUUCAAGGUUUGAUCUGGUGUACAUCAUGAUCGAUGAACCCGAUGAUAACACCGAUUAUCAUAUUGCUCACCACAUUGUGAGGGUUCAUCAGAAGCGCGAAGAUGCACUUGCCCCUCCAUUUACCACAGCAGAGUUGAAGCGAUAUUUUGCUUAUGCCAAGUCUCUUAAGCCUCAGGUUUUCUUACUUCUUUAAGACCUUUUUCCUUAAUUUUCCAAAAUGAUUGUUGUCUUGUCUUAACUUGUAUGUUAUUUCUAAUGCAGCUGAGCUCUGAAGCUCGAAAAGUGUUGGUUGAAUCAUACGUGGCACUUCGCAGAGGUGACACUACUCCUGGCACUAGAGUUGCUUAUAGAAUGACAGUCAGGCAGCUAGAAGCAUUAAUCAGGCUGUCUGAAGCCAUUGUAAGGAGUCAUUUGGAUAAAGUUGUAAGUGCCACUCCAAUUACUUCUUCAUUAUUCAUAUUUUUACUUGUCUUUAGUAAAUCAGGUUUACCAUAUUUGGUCAUGUCAUGAAUUUUUUGCAGAAAUUAAGUUUACUGUAUGUUCUUAAAUUUUUUGCAGGUGCUUCCGGCACAUGUUCGAAUGGCUGUAAGGCUGCUAAAGACAUCUAUAAUCAGGCAAGAACCUUUACUAUUUAUCUAAUGACUCUGUGCAUGUCUUGGACAAAAGAUUUUAUGUAUUUAUUGCAUGUGUAGUGUUGAGUCGAGCGAGAUAGACCUCUCUGACUUUCAAGAUAAUGAAGAUGCUGACGGGAAUAGAGUUGCUGACCAAGAAACUGCAACUCCAACUGAAAAUGCUCAUCCAGCACCAGAAAAUGAAGGUGGCUGUGUUUGCUGUAGUUAAAAACUGCCAUCUUGUUAUCCUCUUUGUUCAAUUGCCCGAAACAUCUUAUUUCCCCCCCCUCUUUUGAAAUGUCGGGCCACGGUUUUUUAUCUCGAGGGACUUGAAAGAGCGUAUGUAUAAUCUUUUACAGUUGAUGCUCAAGGGAGUGAGGGCCAGCAGAAGAAAAAAAUGGUUAUAACUGAAGAGCAUUUCCAGAGAGUUACUCAAGCAUUGGUCAUGCGCCUGCGGCAGCAUGAAGAGACUGUCAUGCGAGAUGGUAUUAGACUCUGAUUUUUGCAGUAUAUAUUUUUCAUACUUCUAGCAAAUCUUACAUUUAGUUCUGCAUCUGUAAUAGCUCCUGUAUCUCACAUUGAAUAAAUGCAUUUGUAAUAAUCACUUUAGGAUGCUAGUCCUACAUAUGUGUGGACUAUGAUAGGCCUGUAAUCACCUCAUUAAUUAUGAAAAGUUCUGCAUGGACUAUGAUCGGCCUAGUUGUCAUUACCUCAUUUAGUAUGCCUAUCCUAUAUCACCUUUUCAUUAUAAUUGGUUCCCUUUCCGACCUAGAAGUAGUACUAGAUCUAAUGUCUCAUACUAACUGCAUUCAGCUGCUUUUGUCCUCCAGAAAACUGGCUCUAGCAUUAGGGCACAAAUUACCAUCUGUACCUACUACAAUGGGGCAAGCUAUUUCAUGUUAUAUGAAUCUUUCUGUAACUAGUACUUGAAAUAGUAUACCUAAUAAGCUAUUUCAGAUUUUUAAGAUGAGUCUUAUAGAAAUUACGCUAGGACAGGGAAAUCCUGCCUGAAUUUUCACUGAUAUAAGCUUUGGGAAUUCUAAUCAUUUAGGAAUCCUACCAAGAUAUCCUAAUACUUCAAUAUGAGAUUAUGCAGGAUUUAGGAUAAGUACAAGGCAGAUUCAGUUCUGAAUGUCUUAAUCAUUCCUAAGUUACUUUUGUUCUGGAAAUUUCGCAUGUUGUGCUAAUUUAUUGCUUUUUUUUUGGGUAUUUGCGUUGUCAGAAUUAGUAAACACCAUUUUAUAGAUCGUGUCAUGUUCAUCCCUUCUUAUGCAUCUUCGCUGAAUUCCCUUAGUUCGUAACGUUAUUAUGCAAUUUAUGUAGGAAGUGGAUUGGCUGGCAUGAAGCAAGGGGACUUGAUUGUUUGGUAUGUUGAGAAACAGAAUGCUGAAGGUGCAUACAGUUCCACUGAUGAGGUGCGAGAAGAAGUUAAAUGCAUCAAGGCUAUCAUAGAGGUAAACAUACUAGUGCAUAUAGUAGACAGUAAUUUGUCUUAACAACGAUGCCAUUAAAAAAGACCUUGUUAAAGCUCACUGAGAUAACAUCAAUGCAGAGGUUGAUACAGAGGGAAGGUCAUCUGAUAGUGAUAGACGACGGCUCAAGCUCAGCGGCACCUUCGGCAGAUGGAGGGGAAACGAGAAGAUCCACGGAGAAUAGAAUCUUAGCAGUGGCUCCAAAUUAUGUUAUCGAUUAACACAUCAAGUUAACAUAGAACUAACCUAUUCAAUUGACAUGGAGAAACUAUCAGAUUGUGCCACCAAUUGUUCCGUACAUCAGGUUUCGUUGAACUGUAACGAUACAUACGGACUCUAUGAAAGGUUUCGCAGUUCAGCGGUCCUGCUCAGAAGAAGAGGAUUAACGAAGGCUUUAGUUUGGGACUUGCGAAGAGGAGUUUCAUUUCCUAAUGUUAUUUGCUAUCCUCAGUUGCAAUACAUUCUUCAGGAUAUAAGCUAUGCUCGUGCUUCCGCAUGACGAAUCUAUCACUCGCCCUGUUAAAGUUUGAUAUAAGCUGGCAACAACAUUUUCCUUUCUUAGAUUUUGCCCAUUUGAUUCUGUAUGAAAUGUCCUAUUAAGAGGGUUGUACCGUGGUUAAAGGUUGUGACUACUUGGUAACUGAUUUCCUUUUAAGGUUGUAUUACAAUUUGUUGCUGUAAAAUCGCAACAGUUUUCAGCUGCCAGCAGGAAGCGGCCUUCUCUUUAAGUCGUCUAACACAGAUCAGUCGGUCAGCACUUUUUCCCCAAUUGCAGAGCUAUUAUUUUCAUUCGCAAGACAGGAAGAUAAUGAAUGGAUCAUGUACUUGUACUUUUGCAGCACAAUGGCCUGGGUUCUUCUUUGGCUUAGCCUUUGAAGUGACUUUUUUACCUUUUUCAGAUUCGGAGAUCUAAAAAGAAUUAGGGUGCAAUACAUUCUAGAUGUAAAUCCUAAUAUAUCUUUAAUUGUAAUCAAUCACCCAAACAAAACCUACGAGACUUCACUUCCCUCACGUUACAAUUGGGUCCCACCCCAGCCGCAUCACAAAUUCACAAUAACGCAACUCAGAUGGAAAGUCUAAAUUUAAUUUGCAGGCGAAGAACAUGGCCACCACAUUUGUCUAAAUCGGGAAAACGCCCAUGGCAUGUGAGCUGUUUCGAGCAAUGGAACAGGUCAUCCGCAAACACAAUUAAUAUCCUGCACUUCUUCUUCUUCUUCUUCUUCUUCUUACAUUAUUAUUUGAUAAUUUCUCAACGAGCAAUCAUCUCCCAUCAUUCAUUUGGUUUGCUCGUGAUUGAUUGCCGCCGCAACUCUCGGGGCUACGAGGCCCAUUUUGUCCUUUCAAUCACCCUCCUCCAGUUAACCUGUACUCGUCCAACCACAAAACGGGAAAAAAAAAACCAACAAAAAUCAUAUAUAUAUAUAGUCCAACCUCAAAACGGGAAAAAAAAAACCAACAAAAAUCAUAUAUAUAUAUUGUCCAACCUCAAAACGGGAAAAAAAAAACCAACAAAAAUCAUAUAUAUAUAUUGUCCAACCUCAAAACGGGAAAAAAAAAACCAACAAAAAUCAUAUAUAUAUAUUGUCCAACCUCAAAACGGGAAAAAAAAAACCAACAAAAAUCAUAUAUAUAUAUUGUCCAACCUCAAAACGGGAAAAAAAAAACCAACAAAAAUCAUAUAUAUAUAUUGUCCAACCUCAAAACGGGAAAAAAAAAACCAACAAAAAUCAUAUAUAUAUAUUGNUUGAUUCAUAUUUUCAGUUAAAUUUAUUUCUAAAUGAAAUAAAUGAAGCGGGUAGCGUGCUAUCUAUCUCUCUCAAAAAAAAAAAAAGUCUUCUGUACUUUUGAAAGUACGAAGACCUGCUUGUAUGUUGUUUUCGAUGAUAGGAAAUUCGAUUCGACGAUCGGCUCCGUUAAGUAUAACCUACCUUAUUGGAAUUCUUUAGAAACCAAAUUUUAUAAUUUUUUUACAUCAUUUACCAAACGAUCAAAAGGUCUCAAAAAUGACUAUUUUAAUAGCCGAUGUGGCACGUUUUUAAGUUCAACGGUGUAGAAGUAUCCAAAUUAAAUAAAAAUUUAAUAAAAAAUUCUACUUAACAUCAAUAGUAAGACCAAUACUUCCGAUUUGAAAUUUGAGUCAUUUAUCACUGUUUUUUAUGAUAUUUUCAUUUUCAGCCGUUCAUUUUGAGGCUACUCGUUCACUAGACAAAUGAAAUCAAAAAAUUAUGAAAUUUGGUUUCUAGAUAGUUCCAACAGCGUAGAUCAUGUCUAACGGAACUGAUCGCCGAAUCGGAUGUCCCAUUAUUGAAAACAACUUACAAGUACGGAGGCUCCUGUACUUUCGAAAGCAUAGGAGCCUAGCUAUCUCUCUCUCUCUCUCUCUCUCUCUCUCUCUCUCUCUCUAUAUAUAUAUAUAUAUAUAGUGCAUCUGGUAUGCUUCUGGAAGAACGGAGCGCUCCGUGCUUCCAAGUUGUUUUAGAUGUUCGGACUUUCGAAUCGACGAUCGGCUCCGUUAGACUUGAUCUAGAGUAUUUGAAAUAUCUAGAAAAUAAAUUUUGCGAUUUUUCGAUAUCAUUUGCCAAGUGAUUGAAGUGGCUCAAAAUCAACAGCUGAAAAUAAAAAUCUUACAAAAUAUGAUGUUAUGACAUUAAAAUUUUAAAUCAAAGUUAUUGAUCUUGUUUUAUAUGGUAUAAAAAAUUUUCUAUCAAAAUUUUAUAUGAUUUGAAUAUUUCUAUCCCUUUAAACUUGCAAAUGGCCCACUAUGGCCAUUAAAAUUAUUGAUUUUGAGCCCCUUCGAUUACUAUGCAAAUGAUAUCGAAAAAUUACAAAUUUAUUUUCUAGGUACUUCAAAUACUCUAAAUCAACUCUAACGGAGCCGAUCGUCGAUUUGAAAGUCCGAAUAUCGAAAACAACUUGGAAGCACAGAGAGCUCCGUGCUUCCAGAAGCAUACCAGCCCACUUUAUAUAUAUAUAUAUAUAUAUAGAGUGUGUGUGCGCGCGCGCGUGUGUGAAAAAAUUAAUACAACUCUUACGGUAUAAAUCUAGCUUUAUAUUAUGAUUUUGAAGCCUGUAGGUUUUGUUAAGGAGAUCCACCAUGCUGCAUGUAAUAAUUUGUCAUUAGAUUGUUCCCCAUCACUCUUGGUAGGCAAAUUGUGCUAUUUAGUAUUUAUGUAUAGGCAGAGAUUUUUUAUUUAUUUUUAACAAGACAGAGAGAGAGACAUUGGGCAAAGAAGUCCAAUUGUGGAAGUGGACUGUUCAUUUCUACUCUCUCUCUCUCUCUCUCUCUCUCUCUCUCUCUCUCUAUAUAUAUAUAUAGUGCGUCUGGUAUGCUUCUAGAAGAACGGAGCGCUCCGUGCUUCCAAGUUGUUUUCGAUGUUCAGACUUUCGAAUCGACGAUCGGCUCCGUUAGACUUGAUCUAGAGUAUUUGAAAUAUCUAGAAAAUAAAUUUUGCGAUUUUUCGAUAUCAUUUGUCAAGUGAUUGAAGUGGCUCAAAAUCAACAGCUGAAAAUAAAAAUCUUACAAAAUAUGAUGUUAUGACAUUACAAUUUUAAAUCAAAGUUAUUGAUCUUGUUUUAUAUGGUAUAAAAAAUUUUCUAUCAAUAUUUCAUAUGAUUUGAAUAUUUUUACCCCUUUAAACUUGCAAACGGCUCACUACGGCCAUUAAAAUUAUUGAUUUUGAGCCCCUUUGAUUACUAGGCAAAUGAUAUUGACAAAUCACAAAUUUAUUUUCUAGGUACUUCAAAUACUCUAAAUCAACUCUAACGGAACCGAUCGUCGAUUCGAAAGUCCGAAUAUCGAAAACAACUUGGAAGCACAGAGAGCUCCGUGCUUCCAGAAGCAUACCAGCCCACUUUAUAUAUAUAUAUAUAUAUAUAUAUAUAUAUAUAUAGAGUGUGUGCGCGCGCGCGUGUGUGAAAAAAUUAAUACAACUCUUAGGAUAUAAAUCUAGCUUUAUAUUAUGAUUUUGAAGCCUGUAGGUUUUGUUAAGGAGAUCCACCAUGCUGCAUGUAAUAAUUUGUCAUUAGAUUGUUCCCCAUCACUCUUGGUAGGCAAAUUGUGCUAUUUAGUAUUUAUGUAUAGCCAGAGAUUUUUUAUUUAUUUUUUACAAGACAGAGAGAGAGACAUAGGGCAAAGAAGUCCAAUUGUGGAAGUGGACUGUUCAUUUCUACUCUCUCUCUCUCUCUCUCUCUCUCUCUCUCUAUAUAUAUAUAUUAUAUAAUUGAAUCCAAUAUCAUUGAAUCAAGCAUCUGAGGAUUAAUUCCUUCUUUGGUGUAUCCCUACUGAAUUGAUUUUUUUUUUAAUGCGUUGCAAAGGUUAUUAUUACAUGCGACAUGUUAAAUAUAGCCUCUUUCUAUAUACCUGGAAGUGUAGUUUGUUGGCAUGCAUGUAGCAUUUAUAGCGAGGCCAUAAUAUCAAAUGGAUUCACUUACAAACUUGCCCAUUUUGAGAGUACCUCUACUCGAGGUGGAGUACCUCUACUCGAGGUGUAGAACAAGAACAAAAUUGAGAUGUAAACCAUUUUAGAUCAAUUGCCACAUGCAUUUAGAAAGACUAUAUAUAGGAGUAAGCCAUGAACUUUGUAAACCAAUUGGUUAUUAUACGCAUUAAUCGUAACCUUAAAACUUAUGUACUGCUUAUUUUGAUACCACUCUGAUCGAAAAGCUGCACCCAAGUACUGUUCAUCAGUAUAACAAUCUUGUACUAAAGAACACUUUAAACAAUAACUAGUGACGCUUUAAAGCACCUGCAAGAAUAAUCCGACACCUGUAAAAACGUAGAGCAAAGAGUUGUUAGGUAAACAUGUUGGGAUAAAUAUACCGAUGCUUUUUAAUAUACCGUCAGAAAAUUUUUAUCAGUAUUUGAUAAAAAUAUAUUUAUUGGCGACGCUUAAUUAUGGUAUCGAUAUAUGCCAAAUAUUAAAAAUGUUAGAAUAGAGCGUCGUCUAAAAAACGUCGUCUAAAAUAUAUUUACUAUAGUGGAUCCUGAAUGCUUUUAAAUUCUAUAAAAAUUAUAAAUAAAUUUAACGCUUUAAAGUUUUUACUCAUAGGCAACUAUUGUAUAUCAUCACUAGUUGGAACUACAACCAAAGUAUAACUUGGUCACUAAUUUGACUCCCAAGUUACAACUAAUUAAAUUGCAUUUCAAUCGUUAAGUCGAGUGUAGCUAAGUUGGAGAGCGCAAUAAGAAAAUAAAGAUAUAUUAAUGUGGCUCGAUCUUAGCAAAUAGCAAUUCAUUACUUAUUUCAUUUGCAUUGUAAUUGCGAAACUCUCCAAUCAUUCAUUACCAAGGGUUUGCUAUUUUUAUUUUUCCUUUUAAAAAGUUAUAAAUUGCAUAGAUUGAUCCAUCAUCAGAUUUUAUUUAAUCCAUUUUAUCAGUGCGUGAAUCUUUGACCAUACAACCAUAUUUACUAAAACAAAUGAGUAGCAUGUUAUCCGAUUCGUUCAUACUUUUUUUUAAAAAAAAAACCCAGGUAGUAAUGUAGAGCAACUGACUUUAGAAUUCAGAGCGUUUUUUCUAUUUUUUGCUUAAAAAUAGAAAAGAAGUUAGGAUAAGGUGUAGUAAAUGUUACAAUUCCUUUUGGUCUUAGACUUAUCAUUUCUCAAAAUAAAUUCAAUAGAUGGUGACACCAUGACCAUAAUUAAGAUUGAUCAGUACUACAGCCCUUCAGUACUACAUCAAGAUGUUGGUAUCUCAACCAGCACACACAAAUUUAUCCCUAUCCACCAUACAAAACACCCAAACCUACCCAAAAAAAGAGAAAUAAAAACAUUUUUUUUUAAAAAAAAGAGAGAUGUUGAUCUCCCUCAGCUUGAUUGGAUCCACUCACCUUCCUCUCCCCAUCAUGGGCCCCACCACAUUCAAUUGCCACUUACAUGUUCCCCUUCCUAACCCUAAUAGUUUUUAUUAAUUAAAAAUAUCAUUAAUUACUCACAAAUUAAGACUCUAUAUAUAUAUAUCACUACAAAACAUGACUAUCAAAGUCUCUCUUAGUGUUGCGUGUGGGAGUGUACCCAGCUCACUGAUGAUGAAGUUGAUGCAUGGAGCCCCCUCUUGACCCACACACACGCGCACCAUGAGGUCUCAUCACCUCCCCCCCGGUUAUUGUACUCCUCCCCCUCACCAAGCUAAGCAACUUGUAUGUGCACGAAUAUUAAAGCAAGGACAGCUGUAUUAAAAUAAGGGGCUAUUAUUAUUUAUAUAGAUAUAUAUGGGCCUAAAAUAACAAUUAUGACAACGAAAACAUGGUAGACGCAAUCAAAUGAUAGAGGACCCAUUUGUGUAGACUUAUCAUUUCUCUUUACAUUUAUUAUACAUAAUCUUAGUUUUUUUUUUAAAAAAAAAAAAAAGAGAAAAAAAAAUUUACUAGGCAUUAAAGAGUAUAAUUCGCAAGCAUUAGUAAUAACAACGUGAAUAGUACAAUGGAAAAGUAACAUUGUCGGAUGCAAUUUUAAAUGAAACUGAUAUUAUUAUAGGCGAAAAGAUGACAAAUUAAAUAAUAAUAAUAAUAAUAAUAAGGUAGAAAUGGAACAGUAACAACACCUCCCAAAACUGAGAUAGAUCAAAUUACAUACACCACACUGCACAUGUCCUUAAUAGCAAAUAAUAACGAUAAUAAUAAUACUAAUUACACAUCCUCCUCCUCCUCCUCCUCCUUCACAACGAAAACAAAAACAAAAACAAAAACAAAACCCAACAUAGAUACAGAAUUAAAAAUGACAUACAAUAAGAGAAGAAAAAGAAAGAAUAACCAAAUAAUGCAAACGGUCGAUGAUCAUGCAUGGAUACGUACGUACGUAGCACCAGUUGUACAAAGAGACCGCGAGAAUUACAUAACAUAUAUAUAUAUAUAUAUAUUAUAUAUAGCAUAUGUAUAUAUAUUAGGCCUUGGCCGGUUCGGUCUCAGCCGGUUCGGCUGGGGCCGGUUCUCGAUCUCCUCCUUCUUCUCCUCCGUUGUGGAUUCCGCCACGGCGGCGGCCGAGGCCUCCGCGACUUCGGGCUCUGCUGCAGGGGCCUCCCGUGGGGCCUCGUCGGGGACGAAGGUCCCCACCUUCUCGAGGAGGAAGACGAUCGGGCCGGCGACGAGUCCCGGGCCUGACUUUUCCACCACCUCGCUUACGGCCUUCGAGCCCGGAAAAUCUGCAUCACAAUUCGCACGUAAAAUUAUUCUGAUAUCAUGUGAAAUAACCGUUUUUUUUUUCUUCUCUAAAUCUUAAGCUACUAAAAACUAUAUUUCAUGUAAUAUAAGGUGUGCAUACAUAUAUAUAUAUAUAUAUAUAUAUAUAUAUAUAUGUGUGUGUGUGUGUGUGUGUGUGUAUUACCGAUUUUAACUAUUCAUCGAGGAACUUAGUCAUGCGGCGGCGUUUUUCUUAACUCACUCUCUUUGGGCGCUUUCACCAAAGCCUGUGAAAAUCAUAUAUAGCAAACAUUUAAUCUAGCAUGUAAUUAAUUUGUAAUUAAUAGGAAAAAAUAUUUUUGGGGGCGGUAAAAAAUAAGAGAAAUAUAAACCUGAUCUCAGCAGGAGCAGCUUCAUAGAUCUCAAAACUUUGGGCCCGAGCUCACUCUUCUUCUCCCAACUCCUUGUUAACCUCCUCCUACAUAAAUAUAUGUACAUAUUUCAUACACAAUAUUUAUAUCAAAAUAACUAGAACAUAUAAAAAUAUAAAAAUAUAUAUGCAUGCGUUAGAGAAAUUAACCUACCUUAUCGAAAGAUUUGACGAACUCAGAAGCCGCGGCUUUUUUGCGCUCUUGUCGAAAACCUUCCUGAGCUGUGGAAGGACCUUAGUUUGCCAAUAACCAUCUUUCUCUGUCUCUCUCUCUCUUCUUUAUAUAUCUAUAUAUCUCUCCUCUCCACCUUAAAUCACCUCUAUAUGUAGAGAGAGAGAUCUCUCUCUCUUUAAUAUAUUUAUACAAUCUCCCUCUUCUUAAUCGUAUGUAUUAACACAAAACCUGGUUAUGCAUCAACAACAAUCAUCAAUAAUAAUCAUGAAAAAGUAAAUCACAAAAAUUAAAGGAGCAAAAAAGAGGGGAAAAAAAAAAAAAAAAAAGAGGAGAGAGAUACGUACGAGAGGUUUAGUUUCUUUUUCGCUAAUAUGCGUUGUUCGUAUAUGUACAGAAACCGGAAGGUUUAGGGGCCGAGCGAUGAGGCGCCUUUGGGGGAUAUAGAAGAGCGCGCCACGAAAAGGCCCUCGAGUUGCGGCGAAAUUACGGGAAUACCAGGGGUUUAAUAUAGAAAGGGGCGCGUACGUGGCGCGACUCUCGACGAACGCGUGGACGCGGACGAUGCGAGCUGGAACGGGGCCGUAUCAGCCGCGUGAUGGGGGAGCGGACGGUGGGGAUCGGAUUGGUGUUGUGGGGCCCAAUAAGGGGGGGGGUGUUCGGGAACGUAAAGGGUGUUUCGGUCAUUUGGGGCGGGUGGGUGGCAUGGGUUGUAAUUUUGGGGAAGUUUUGGGGUGGAGAUUGGGGGCGACAGCUGGCGAUGGGCGCGCAUGUUUGGGUGGCGAUCUCGAGCGAGUGGGACCCACCCCGGCGAGGAAUUUGUCUCGGUGCAUUGGGGGGUUAUUUGGUGAACCCGGUGCAGAAUUUGAACGGUGGAUCGCGAGAGGUUGUUGAGAAUCGGACGGAAAUAGGUUGCAAGUCCACGGUUGUAGCUGUGCACAGGGUUCACGAAAUGUUAUCAGCGGGCCAGGAGAGAUACGGUGUGCGCCACCGGCCCAGGCCCGUUGGAGUGGAAGGGAAACGUGAAGCGAUUAAUAUUGGAUUUGCUACUUUUUUUUUAUUUUUUUUCUUGGUAAAAAUGCACGGAGGCCCCUCAACCUAUAAGAAAUACUUAAAAAGAUCCCUCAAAUAUUGUUGUUCUUUUGGCUUUUUAUUUGAGUUGUUUUGUUUUUAAAUUAAGUUUCGACAAUAAUUUGAAAUUAUGGUACCUAAAAGUACAUAUUUUUAUAUUCUGAAUGGUCUAAAAAUAUAUAGUUUUUUUUUUAAUUUUAGUAUUUUUUUAAUACUAGUAAAUUAUGAUAAGAAUUUCUACCUAAGAAAUAAACAGCCAUAGUUUGUCCCUUUCCUAUAGCAAUUUCUAUCAUAAUUUUAUAAUAUUAAAAAUAUACAUUAAUUUUUUAUUUUUCAGUCUGUGAGAAUAUAAAAGUAUAUUUUUUGUUGCGCAAUUUUAAAAUAUUUUGAAAGAAGUUUGAGGAGUCGAUCCCAAAAUAGAUGAUAGUUGAGGGGUUUCUUUUUUUUUCGUUCGAAAUUUCGAACUUUUUUUUUUUAAAAAAAAAUUUGGUGUGUUUCGGAGGGAACGAGUUGAGUGAUUUAGUAAAACGGUCCGAGUUGGGGCCCAGUGAGGACCGAGUUGGUGUUGGACCGGACCACGUGGCUUCGCUGGCGCGGGGGGCGGUGGGACCCAAACGGCGCGGUGGCUCACUCCGUUUUGUUUUGUUCCCAAUUUUGUCCCUCCCCCGUAUCAUCGCUACUUAUUCUCUCCUCUCAACUAACGGCUCUAUUUGUCAUUUGCUGCUACCCAAAAAUAAUAAAAUAAAAUAAAAUAAAAUGAAAGAGAAAUAGUUGGAAUACUAUUUGGCAAUAAAUAAGACCAAACGACAAAAAAAAAGAAAAGAAAAGCGAGUUUAGUCACAAUUUUAUAACUAUUAUUACUCCUAGCAGUAAAAAUUACGUUAAUUUUAAUUCUAUAUGAUUAUGAAAUGAUUGUGAAUUAUCGGUUCAGACAUAAUACAGAGAAGUUGGUGGAUGAUAUUGGUUACAUUUUUGGAGCAGAAUCAUAGGAAUUAGAUAAAUUAUCUAACACUCCCUUAAUUUUGGUUACUAUGUUAAUUAUGAUUUAACAAUUAUGUUAAGCUCUUAAAAAGAUUGAUAAUGCUGGUAAAACUAUAUAGGGAUGGAAAUAGAAGUGAAUUUUCUAUAUUAUCCUGAGACAUAACGUAAAGAGUAGGACGAUUUUUAGCACUAUAACUUAGAAAUUUCAAUUGGCAGUUAACACCGAAUUCAACACAUCUUUGUCAUUUACACAAGAAGUUUAUGAUCAAAUAUCUAAAAAACCAUAUCAUAUCUGGCUUUGAAAAAUAGUCCAUAUAUAUGUGACGUAUGACCAACCUAGGGCCAUUUUUUAACUUAAUUUUUACCUAUUUUGGGCUGCUUUUAGAGCAAGCUCUUCAAAAAUAUGGGGACCCUGGGGUUUAAUAGUCCCACAUCGCAUAAGACCUAGUCUGAGAUCGCAGUGUCUAAAAGCCAAGUCAGUGACAAAUGAGCUUCGUGUUGGCUAUGCCAAAAAUGAAAACUAAUUAAGGGUGUUUGCGCCUUCAAAGUAUAAGUUUGAUAUGGAGCAUCUCCACAAUUUAAAUCUAGUCAAAUAAUAUUAUAAAAUAACUGGAUUUUUUUUUUUUUUGAAAGAAAAGUAUAAUAGCAAAAUAUCCGCUUCGUUCAUUUUUCAUUAAUGAGCGCAACUAAAAAAUACAAAAUAAUUAAAUUUAAAUUUGAAAUAUCAGAUAUCAACCAUCAAAUUUUUAGGCACGCACGACUAAAACAACUACUGAAAUAAGCACGAACAGAUAAUAACUCAAUUAACAGACACAAUUUGCUCCUACGCAAGUAAGUACAAACAUAACAGCUAGCCCCCAAAAUAAGGAGUAGGCCUAGUUGCAAUAUCUCGGCAAGAAUAGGAUUCAUGGGCGCGCAUUAGAAAGAGAAGUUGCGGUGUCAAUCGCUUUUGGGAAAAGCCGAGAAAGGACAAGGCCGAUUAAUUUGAGUAGAUUAAAAGCACUUGUGAAGAAGUGUGAUUAGUACAAAAGGAGGCUGUCUUAUUUGGUCUUCUCUUUCAAGUUUCAAGUAUCCACCCCCCCUCACUUCAGAUUCCUCCUCCUUGGAUUCUCAAAAUGUAGCUGCAGGUAAAAUUUCUCCAGGGAAAGUGAGAGAGAUAGACAGAUAAAGAGAGCGACAGUGGCGUACACUGUUGUGGGUCUCACAUUGUCUGAUGAACAAAAUAGUCCUACAUCUAUCUCUCUCUCUCUCUCUCUCUCUCUUUUCUAAGUAGAAUUUCUAUAUAUAUUUAUCCAUGGUUAGUCGCAGCGCACGUAAGAUGCACAUCAUAUUAAUGUUGUUGAACACAUUUAUUCCUGUAUGUACUUUUAUGUAAUUUUGUUACUUGGUAGGAUAUUUAUUUCUGAUUAAGAAAGAUAGAGGAAAAAAGAAUAAAUUUAGAUUCGAAUUGAUAUGUACAAUAAAAAUUGAGUUAAUAUUUAGAAUUAAAAUUAAGUUUUAAUUUCGAACUAAUGGUUCUUGGUGGCGUAGGUCUAUUUUUUUUCAAUUGAUUUGUUCCCCAAAAUGUUAUCUCUUUCCGUUUUAGAAAAAAGAGAAAUAGGGAUGUAAUUAAAUUUGAUUUUAAGUUUUAAAUUUGGAUUAGAUUUGAUCAUACAUUGAUUGUCUUUUCUUUGAAUUAAAUUUUCGUGGAUAACUUUUUAAAUGUAUAAAAUUUAAAUUAAAUUUUGAAGAGAGAGGAGUAGGUAUCUUUUUCUAAUUAGUACCUUCCCAUGUAUGUUUAAUUUCCUUUUUUAAUGUAAAAGAAAAAAAAUUUUAAUUUCCUUUUAGCAUUAAUUUCCUCUAUCAAUCCUAUUUAGAUAGUACAAAUAUAUAUAAAUAUAGAUUUUAUACUGGGUGUAAUUGCAUGUGUAUUCUUAGAAACUAAUAGAAUUUCGCAUUUAUCUCUACCAAAUUUUAACUAUAAUAUAUAUCCCUCCAAAAUAGCAUAUUUUAUAAGUACAUUCCUCUCCAUUAAUUGAUCGGUUAAAGUUAUUUUUUUUUUGGUACAAAUAACUAUUCUAUUUUUGGAUAAAUAUCAAUUUAUAUGUUUUUAAAUUUUUUUAUCAAUUAUAAUGUUUUAUUCCAACUUUUACGUAAACUAUAAAUAGUAAAUUGUAAAUAAACAAAAGUUAUCCUUUUCCCAGGAAUGGUCAAAAUUUAAUGGUCAAUUAAAGACAACCAACCCAUAGGAAUAUAUUUGCAUAUUUCAAAACUUUUUUAAAAAAUAUGUAUUUGGUAAUUUAAAGACUCUGUAAAUGCACAUAAAUUAUCCCUAAAUUUAGGUAAAUUGUGUUUGCUCCUCAACUACGUUUUUGCCCGUGACAAACCACUCUCAAAGCCUCAUAAAAAGACGCAAAAAAAAUUUACGAAAUAAGGAAAAAAGAAUCCAAUGCUUUUGCUCUUGGCCAAUCACCUUUCAUGCUUAUAUAAGAACAUUCAUGAAACCUCUGAAACAUAUCUAAUACUUAUCUUUAAGAAUCUUUAUUUAUUCUCUAAUGUUGAUAAGGACAAAGUCCAUCACGAAUAUACAUGAUGACAUGUACCCAACAUGUUUUUUCCUUCCAAGUAACCUCUUUGAUUAAUUGUGUGUGUGACAUUUGAUACACUGGAGGGGCUUUGUGGUCAUGGUCAACUCGGCUCAUCUAUUGGAGGAGGUUAAUUAAGUGCUGGUGACUUGUAUUAGGGGGUUUCAUGUUCAAUAUAUUCACUUAUAAAUUGUAUUAUAUUAUUAUAUAUGUCUCAUGCAAGGUGAGAUGUAAUACAACAAGGCACAAAUUUAAAGAUGCUUACUGUAUGCGGAAUAGUGUUUUAUUUAUUGUUGGUGAUUUUAAAAACAAUCUUAUGCACUUUCAAAUUUGACAUUUGAGUUUUCUAACUUUGAUAAAAUAUUAUAGUUCGUCUUAUCGUAUUAUAUAUCUAUCGGUAUAUUUGACUAUCUAAUCUGUAUUCAGAUUCAUAUGUUCCAUUUCUAAAAUAUAACAAAGUAUAUAAGUAUUAGUGUAAUAGAUUAAACUUAUAUAAUAUUAUAUAUAUAUAUAUAUAUUAUAUAUAUAUAUAUAUUCUGUGGGUACGUACCCACGGGGAUUCAGUGACUAAGAAGAUGAUUUUAUUUAUAUGACCAAAAGAAGAGUUUUACAAUUGCACGAAAUAAAUUUAGAUAUUCUAACCCGUGACUACAUUGCAGAAGGAACCAGGGACAACUUAAUAGGGGCAAAAAAAAUAAUAAUAAUAAAAUAAAAUAAAAUCAGAGGAAAUGAAAAGAAAAAAAAAACAAAAACAAAAUCAUCAGGUGUGUUGUUAGGUACAUGUUUGGAGUUAACCAAUAGAGGUUAAUCACGUAUUACUAGAUUUUAUAAUUAGCAUGUAGCUAAUACUUUUUCAUAUGCUAAACAUGUCCAUGGAUUGUUUUUAGCCCCUAAUUAAGCAUUUUGCUCUACACAGUUCUCGAUUAUAUUAUCUCAAAUGUCACAAUCAUUAAAACCUUGCAAUUAAUGAACUAUAAUUUCUUCAUACAUCCAAACUGUUAUCUAAAACAUCCAUCUAGAGUAUAUAUUAACACAAAUAAGUUCUUAUGAAGAGAUUUGACUAUAUAUGAGUCCCCACCAUUCCUUUUUGUAAUGUGCAAAAAGGAAAAAAAAAAAUGAAGGAAAAAAAGUAAUUCUACCUAAUUGAAUAAAUUAACUCUUGUGCAUGUAUAUUUAUUAAAACCUGUAGGGACAGGUAUUUAAGAAACUAAUUAAUCCAUCCAAAUCUACCAAGUGCACCUCGCACCAAUUCAUGACCAAACGUGUUAACAAUACUCAAUUCUCUAAUGAUUAAUUUGGUACAUAGUGCUUAAUUAACUAGUAAUAAUUGAUUAUUCCCAUUAGUUUAAUUAAUAUGUCCCUCUCUACUAUGAUUCCUUGCUAUAAAAAACUUGUAAGCAAUAAUUACUUAGUACACUUCGUAGCUGGCUCCUUACAUUUGCAAUAUUCCUCUUGUUGCUUGUUUAAGUGUUCCAGUUGUAAUUUACUCUACAAGAUGCUUACUUUUUUGAGUAAUUGUAAGAAAAUUUGGGCAUUUUAUUUGGUAUUUUGAGGCGCGAAAUGUCGCGAGGUUCAAAUUUUUUGUGCGUGGAAAGUUUUGAACCUAAUUGAAGUUGAUCGGUGCAGCGCGGUUACGGACUAGUAAUGGCUGGUAAUUUCAAGCUUAUUGUUCGGUUUCGACAUUAACUUAAGAAUUAGUGAGUCAAAUUUAAACUUUUGCUUUAUAAAAAAACUUUUGAAGUAGGAAUCUCUUUUUAAUAAAACCCCAUAAUAUGCGACUGGUCGUAAAUCCGAAAUUUUGACUUGUACCAAAUCAUGCUUUUCUUGAUUGUUGAAUUAUUAUAAGUUUUUGGGGUUUCAUAUGUGAAAUUUCUCUCUUAGAUUUUUUUUAAUUUUUUUUUUUAACAUCUGUUUAAUGCAUAACCCCAUAUAAUUAAUUAUAUUAAUUGGGAAUUAAAUGAUGUGAUUGUUAAGUCUCUUUUGGAUCAGGUUGCGUUGGACCAAUGGGCUUCAUUAAAAGGCUUCAUAAUGGGCCUAAAAGCACAGCUUUUUCAUGGGAAUGGGCUUUAAUGGGCCUAAAGAGUGACUUUGCAAACCUCGCGUAGCCCAUAGCCCAUAAAAGCCCACUGUUUUAUCGAAAAUAAAACUCAAUUCAAGUUUAUUGAAUUUAAUAAAUUACGAACCACGCAAUGAUUUUUGAAGCUUCUUGGGAGAUAAAUGUGAAUUCUAAACACAACACUUAAGGGGAAAAAAAAAAAGAAAAAAAUAAUUACAUGUUUUGAGUAUAACUCAAAAGGUAGUGAAUUUUAUGUUAAUUAACACCUUUUUCAAGCGACUUGUUCAGCGUCCAAAGAAUUAGAUUCACUUGCAAAAGUAGCAAGUUGUUCUUUUGUGCUUUUGGAUAAGAUAUUCAACAGUGUGCUUUUUUUAUUCUAUACGUAUUUUGUUUCGCAGAAAACUAGCUUUCGAUGGACAUAAGUUAGAUAACUCGAAACUUCGACACAAAUCUCAAAUUUUAAUGCACGCAGACCCGAAUUUACGACAUUUUCGUCGUGUCCGUGUGUGCUCAUGACCUAACUGCUAAGGUAUUAGGUAUUUUGUAAAUUGAUGAUGUUGCUGUUACUAAGAAUAACUUGAUGGGAUACAAUAUGGCCAAAUUCAUAGCAUCAAGCAUUACCCCUAUUAUUAUAUAUUUUGUCUAAAGAAACAGGUUGUCUCCUGCUUGAGAAUAAUUUUUUUUUUUAAUCUUUUUCUUUAAAAGAAAGAAUAUCUUUUAUCUUAAGAACUAAAGUAUUGCAGUUUAUGAAGCACUAUGAUGGAAUGAACGAAGGUGCACCGAAAAAGCAUUUGAAUUCCCCCAAAAGUUUUCCACUUAAAGAUAAACUUCUUUAUUAGUGACAUAUAUAUCCAAUUGAAUUUGGACAUCAACUAUAGUGACCUAAUCUAACUCACCUACUUUUUUUUUGUUUUAUUUUAUUUCUUUUUUAAUUCUGUCCAUUGAUUCCACAUCCUAAAAAUCUAUCUAGAAUCGACUGCCCUAGAGCAAGUGGCAAAGGGUUUGGUGGUUGGUAUCCGAGACCCAAAUUCGAAUUCUAGUUGAUUCACAUUUUUAGCUAAGUUUAUUUUUAUAUAAAAUAAACGAAGCAGAUAGCGUGCUACCUAUCUCUAAAAAAGGAAAAAGAAAAAAGAACCUAUCUAGAAACUUCGAUAUUUAACUUGCAAUCAGAGACGAAGAGCAGCUAAAAAAAUCACUAUAAUAAGGGCUCAGACGUAGGCCCACGCACAUAUAUAAACAAAAUCGAACUUGCGACCUGUCCCUCACAUAAAAGGAUGCCUCACUAACCCAACUAUAAGUGGCUACAUUUAAUCAAACAUAGAUUGCUGGACCGCUCGAAUCUCUUAAGUGGUUUAAAGAACUUAUUGUAGAUUCGUACAAGUUAUAUUUUUUGUGUAAUUGAUUAUACAAACAUUUAAGUGGUGGUCCUUUUAUAUCUCUCCAAUCAUCAACAACGAUUUCUCAACAUCUAUCUUAUUCUAUCAUUUUUGCAUGAAUACGAUACGAUACAGCUAAAGUUGUGAAAACUCUCUCACUUAUGGUGUAAACAAAAUAACUAAAAUGAAUAAAACUAAUUUAGUUGCCUUGGAAAACAAAACUAAAAAUGGUGCAACAUCGAUCGAACAUGUGGUGUAAGUGGCGCCAGGAAAUUCGGAGCAUUCAAAGCGCAAUUGGUCCCAUCAUGUUGCCACAAGGAUAAUGAGACUUUAUUAUUAUUAUUAUACAACCAUCCAAUUUGCACCUGUAACGAUUUUAUUAAUGAGUGAUAGUGAAAUAUAUUUAUUUAUCAAUGAAUUACACAAUCACGAGUCUUUUAUGAUUCUGCAAGUACUAUUAUGUGCCUGUUUGGCUCAAAGUACUUUUAUUAGAAGUUCUCUUUAUAUAUAAAAAAAAAGUUGUUGUGAGAAAACGCCUCAUCAUUAAACUAUGUUUAAUAUUUUCUCGUCAAAUCUGGGAGUAGAAGUUUAAGUUUGAACUACUGCUGUUGAGAACCUUGGUUCGUUUUAGUUAAACACCUCAACCGACGUCUCAAAAAAAUAUAUAGGGAGUUUGACUGCUAUAUAUAUUCAUAAGAGUAUGUUCGUUUUUAUACUUAUAAAUAAUUUUUAAUAAGAAAAAAUUUUGAAUUAACAAUUCAUACCGUUAGACAUAAUUUAGAGCAUUUGAAAUUUUUAAAAAUUAAAUUUCAUAAUUUUUCAACAUCAUUCAUCUUACGAUCAAAAUAUCACAAAAUUAAUAAUUUUUAACGGCCGGUAUGGAAUAUUUGCUAUUUUAACAGUGUAAAAGAUUCGAAAUAGAUUGAAUUUUUUUUAGAUAAUGAUAUUCACUAUCUCGAUGAAGAUCAAUAAUUCCGAUCUUAAAUUGAAAAGUUCGAUCAUUCUUUUUUAGGACGUUGUUCGACUUUGACCGUUCAUUUUGUGUCCGCUUGAUGGACUUUAUUAUAAUUUUAAAAAAUUAUAAAUUUUAUUUUCUACAAAUUUCAAAUGCUUUAGAUUAUGUUUAACGGCGUGAAUCAUCAAUUUGAAAACUACGUCAUCGAAAACAACUUAUGAGUAUAAAAUACUCUAUACUCAUAAAAGCAUAAUAGCCCUACUAUAUACAUAUAUGUAUAUAUUUGAAGAUGAAAGCCACCCACAGUAUGUGACAAGCAUGUUAAAUUAUUAUAUCUGGUUUUAUAUAUAAUAAGCUUAUUUGGCAUGGGAAAAGUGAAUUAGAUUCGAGAAACAAGUAAGCAUUUCUUUUAAGAGAAUUUUAUUUUUUAAAAAAUAAAAAAAGUUAAAAAUGUGAAUAAAUUAGGAUUCAAACUUGAAAUCUUAGGUAUCAAUCAUCAAGCUCUUUACUCAGGUCGGUGAAACAAAUGUGUUGAGAUGAGAUUUAGCAACCCGAAUGCGUCGGAUGCUGCUUGAGGAACCUGAUCUGAUCAAAUAGUUUAGCUUGAAUACAAAUCAUGUGUCGAAUUCCACUUAAGAGGUGAAACCUAAAUGAGAUUAGAUUCAGAAUAAUAUAAAUCUCUACCAACACUUUUCUCUCGUCUUAUACUAUUCAAUCCAAAUUAAAAAAACAAAACCGAACUCACAAUAAAUAUCUAUGAAAAAUUUUCACAACUUAUAUAUAACCAAUAAUAGUAAGCCACGUAAGCUGGUCUAAUACCAAAACCACUGUUGCAAUCAUGCCAUAUGUUUUGUCUUACUUUACACUCCAGUCCCUGCAGAUUAUUUUAAUUAUUUGAACUAAUUCUAACAAGACAAAAUUAAUGAUUUAUCUUAGCCCUUAAGCCUCGCCUCUCUAUGGAAAGCUUAAUCGUGCUACGCUGUGCUUAAGGUACAGCACAUAUCUCCUCCAUAUCCUUCUAAAGAGAAAUUAUUGGGUGGACCAUAGCUUACCGUGGACCGGUCUCUCAUUAUUAUAUGGGAAAUGCUUGAUUUACAAUUGCUAACGAAUAUAAAUAAUAAAUUUUAAUGAAGUUUAAUAAAAUUUUGCUCAUUUAAAAGAUUAUCACAGAUGAUUCAAAUUUUACUGCAUUGAAGGAUUUAGAAUUUGACUAUAAAGUGUGAAACUCUGAUUUCUAAUUAAAAAAUAAAAUAAGGAUACUCUUAGUAUAAUGUGAUUUUUUCACAAUAAAUAUUUAGAAACUGUUAUAUUUUAAUUUUAGAUUCUUUAGUGGUUGGUUCUAUUAUGCACUAUUUAGAGUUGAAUAAAUAUGAAUAUAUUUAAUUAUAUAAGAAAGUUAGGUAAAAGUAUAUUGUAUAAAUAAACACAUGUAUAUCACCAACAAGUUGUUUCUGCACCGGGUCUAGGGAUGUAGUGGACCCGGUCUAGGGAGUGGCUUCUCACGCUCUAGAUUCUCGCAGCCGCGUUAUUGGGCGCAUCGGACGGCCCCGGAGCUUCCGCUUCUGCGGAGCGCGAAGCAGCGCACACCGUGGGAUUCCCACCACGCAGGUGACGUGUCAGUCUCUCAUCCGUCCAAUUUGCCCCCCCACCUCUCCCCGCUCCCCUCUUUAGACCUUUCCCACCCCCUCUAACAAUGCGAAAGGUUGUGUUGUGUUGCGUUGUGUUUUGUUUUGUUGUUAUUCUCACCCACCACCUCCAUUUCCCUCUCUCUCUCUCUCUCUCUCUCUCUCUCCGUCUCCUUUGAGCGAUUUGCUUCGUAUUUGAGCCUUUGGUGGCGAUUUUUUUGAGGUUUUUGUGGGAUUUUCUUUGAUUUGGGGGAUUGGGACGGGGAGGGGGUCGGGAUUAGGGUUUUUGAAAAGAGAAGGGGGUUUAUUCGGGAGGUGAUCGAGCUGGAGGGAGGAGGGAAGCUAGGGUUUUUCUGCGGAGAUUUGUGGUGCGAUCUUAUGGCGUCGGAGAUCACGAAGGAGAAGGGUAUCGUUUUCCGCUAAAAUUUGAUCUUAUUUGGUUUAUUUUUUGGGAGAGAAAGAUCUUUUUUCCCCCUUUUUUAUAUGACAAUUUCCUAAUGAGGGAUUUAUAGUUGCUUCUUACGGAAAAAAGCUACUUUUUUUUCUCCGCACUUUUCGUGAUGUCUGUGGGAGGAUCCGUUUAAUUUCGAUUUCAAAAAGUAAACCGUGUCGGAUUUGGGUUAUUGGUUCACUUUGAUCUUUGGUUAUGUUUCUCCACUCAUCUAGAGUGGAUAAAAAUUUGUAACAAAUUUUUUUUUUUCCCCCCGGUCUAGUUGCGAUCCGAGCUUAUGUAGCUCUAAUUUGCAAAAGAAGAAGGAAAAAGGAGAAAUUUAUGAUUAUAAGCUUGUUCGUGUUGUGUACGAAUAUGAUGAGUUGGAGUUUUGACAAGUUGCUAAAAUUAUUGUAGAAAAUAAUUGCAUGAGCUUUGAGAAUAUAGCAUCUGAUGCAUGACUUAAGAUGUAUAAAGCAUUUAUUCUUUCUUAGGGUAUGAUAUUUCAUUGUUGGGUGCAUUGACUUUUUCCCCCUUUUUUCUUUCAUAUAGAUGUGCAAGAUGUGGUGGAAAAUUUGAAGUUGGAUUCUAAUUCUAAGACUGCGAGUGGUGAGAUGGUAUGAUGAUAUUUAGUUUAGUUAUGAUUAAAUCUUUUUUGAUUGUACAGUAUGUUGGAUUAAAUUAUAUUAUAGUGCUUAAGUUUUGCCAAAUUUGAUUCAUUGGCUCUAUCUUUAUCCAUCUCUUUCUAUAGGCUGGACAAAAAGAUGGGAGCACAUCGGAUGCGAUAUCAUGCAUCUCUUCAGCUGAUGCUAAUAGUAGCAUCAAAGAAAGUGAGGUCGAACAAGAGGCCUUGUUUUCUGAACCGAGCAGCUACUAUACCGUGAACGGAUUAUCUGGUUAUCCUUAUUCAGGUAAAUUCUAUCAUAUGAACCAUUUGGAAGUGAAAUUAUUAUAUGUCGACUCAUCGUCGUGGUUUAUUUUUGUCUGUUCUUAUGGUGGUGAUCUCUAAUUGUAUAGGCUUUGAUGGUUCAUUUGGGGGAUGGGAUAGCCAAACUUUUAUUGGAGGAACUGAAGGCUUGGAUGUUCAGCACUCUGUAAGUUCUUUCUUUUUCCUUUCCUUUUGAUUUAAUUACGGUGCUUUGUGAACCAAAUAUAGCUUUAUUUCCCAUCUUCCCCAAUUUGGUAUUGAGUCGGCAAUUUCUUUUGCACCUUCGUUGAGAUUUUCUUGUGAUUAUUCGAUAGGAUGGUUAAAUGCUAUAACAUCCUUUUUGCUGGAUGGCCAUUUAUGAAGAAAGGUGAUAGCAACGUGAUGACAACUUGUCGAAUAUGAUGCUAUGAUUUCUUAUUUCUCUAGUUAAUGUCUUCCUGCAUUUAUCAUUGUGGGCUCUACCUUUCUAUUGGGAAAUAUUAAAGAGUUGAAGAGUAAUUGCCAUUAGCUGAGCUGUUCAGGUCAAGGACGUUGAGGGAGAAAACUGGGUUCUAAGUGCUGCCUGCUGCCUAUUUGGGCUUAUCCUUUUCUUCUACUUUCAGUUGUAGAAUGUCCAAUAGAAAAGUCUGGAGCUUUCUACUGUGGUGGGAAACAACAAUGUAGUUUUGACUUGGGAGCAGAAUCUCCAAUUUGGAUCUUCUAAAUCUGCUUUAAAGAGAAGCUUUUGCUAGGGUUAUCAAUAUAGUAUUUUCUCUUAAUACAAUUAAAAUACAACAUCAUUAAGCAACGCUACACCCUACGGCAAGAACAAACAGGCUCUAAGUAGUAAAGAAACAUUGAAAAAUCGGUUUGCUCUUAUACUUUUGGAACUAUACAAUAUUGAGCUGAUCAUUGAUUAUCUUAUAUAAACAUGUCAUUUGUUAUGCUUUUCAGACGGCAGUUAUUCUACCUAUCAAUUUGUUUUUAAUUCUCUUUUUUAAUUAAUUUUUCAGGCUAAUCAGGUGGACAAUGGUUCUUUUGUUUACUACUUUCCUGGCUUUCAUCCUGGAUACUCUCCUUACAGUCCAGUUAUUCAUGGAGCUGUGACUAGUCCUGAUGGACAGUAUAUGGGUCAGCAGCUCUUCUACCAAAGCCCAAUCUAUUCCCAACCACUUGCCUCUCCAGGGUUUGUUUCUCAGCCAGUUACUUAUCCUCCGGAAUUAAUCCCUGCUUAUUCUUGGGAUUCAUAUGCUCUUUUUGUCGAUGGGAUCCAUGGUAAUGGAUUUGGUGGAGAUACAACAUUUCCAUUUUCAGGAAAUAAUUUGUCUCCCCAGGGUCAUGCACGAUCUCCUUCAAAACCUUCACCCCAAUCAAAGUCGAACUCUCUUGAAAAGAAAGGAGCCUCAAAUCAAUAUCUCAAGCCUGUGAGUAAGGUACUGCAAUGUCUGCAAUCUUUGUUUCCUUGUACAUAACUAAAUAAUCCUUGUAAUCUGUGUCUUUUCUUGGCUUUCAGCCCAAUGGUUCUAUCGCCAAAGAUGUACCACCGACUAACAAGGUUUUGUCAUAUGCUGGCCAAGGGAAAAUUCGGCUGCUGUAUCCGAACAGCCCUAGCAAUACCAAGGAAAGUGGAAGAAAUGGUGCUGGGACUGAGAAGCUCAACGGAACUAAUACUAUAGCACCUGCAGAUUUUGAUUCAUUGAAUGAUCAAAAAAGUGGCCCGAGAACCACUGUUAAAAACUCAGGGAUACCCGAGGUUGGGUCGGGUCAACCAAAGGAUCCCGCCAAGGAGAAUGACAAUAGCAGCACCAUGAAUUUAAUAGUAAAGAAGGAUGAAUACAAUCUGCCAGAUUUUCCAACCAAGUAUGAUCAUGCGUUGUUCUUCGUGAUCAAAUCAUACAGUGAAGAUGAUAUCCACAAAAGUAUAAAAUAUAAUGUUUGGUCGAGCACCCCAAAUGGAAACAGGAGGCUUGACAAUGCCUUUCAAGUCGGACAAGAGAAGUCCAGAGAGAAAGGCACCAAAUGUCCUGUCUUUCUAUUCUUUUCUGUAAGUCUGGGCUGACUAUGUUAAUUUGAAUUUUGAAAACAGAGUACAAACAAAGAAAAGUUUUCACUAUGUUGAUCUAAUGUUUUAUCUCAACUAUCUGUCCAUUCUCCUCUGCUAUAACAUUCUAAUUAGCUUCUGUUCUUUCUUUUACAGGUAAAUGCAAGCGGACAGUUCUGUGGUCUAGCUGAGAUGAUUGGCCGAGUUGAUUUCAGCAAGAACAUGGACUUUUGGCAACAGGACAAGUGGAAUGGUUAUUUCCCUGUAAAGUGGCACAUAAUUAAAGACAUCCCUAAUCCACAGUUCCGUCAUCUAAUAUUGGAGAACAAUGACAACAAGCCUGUAACGAAUAGCAGAGAUACACAGGAGGUAUGCUUCUUAAGCUUCUGCUUUGUCAGAUAAAUUCCAGUGCAAGUAAUUAUAAGCAGCGAAUAAUGGUUAAAACCAUCUACGAUUAUCAAGCAAAUUUAAGGGCUUUUAAUAGAUUUUCAGUUAGUUGUGCAAGUUAUUUGUUUUCUGUCUCAAGCUUCUGCGUAGAUUAAAUCAGGUUGUUUGAAAACUUCCUCGAGUUAUAACCUAUUUUCAACUAGUAUUUGUUUUCUCGGGAAGUAAAUAUCUAUGCAGAACCUGUUCCUGUACUCAGCAGUAUUUCUGUGUACAUAUCUCAGGUUAAAUUUCCCCAAGGUACAGAGAUGCUGAGCAUUUUUAAGAGCUACUGUUCUAAAACUUCCAUAUUGGAUGAUUUUGCUUUUUAUGAGAACCGGCAAAAGAUACUCCAAGAGAAGAAGAACAAGACUUCUGCCUCAAAGUUGGAGCUUUUAGAGGUAAUCUACAUUCUUUUCAAAUUUAAUUGGCUUGAAAUAUCUCCUGUCAUAGCUUUUUUGUUUCUUGUGUCGGCAUCAUGAUAGAAUAAAGGGAUUGCUAUUCUAGACACUUGAGUAAUCUUUUUUAUUAUUGCUCACUUACUAGUUCAAUCGCUGUGUACCAAAAUUCAGUUUUCGUAGUUUCAUCCAUUGGUUUCCUUCGUUCCACAGUUUCAUCUAAAGGGUUCUCUUCUUUGCCGUAGAAAUGAAUUUCUCUAAUUUCUCUUCUUGGUUUGGUUUGGCCAGAAAAAAACUACUGAAGUAACUGAAGUUCCAAAGCCCGUUAGUGUCGACUACAUAGUUUCAGGCGUACAAAAGAUUGAUUUAAAUGCGACUAAGGCCAAGGAGGACCUCUCAGCUGUUGGUGUUGUUAAGAAAUGAUUAUGACUUCUGAAACUCUCUGCGAAAGAACAGUAGUUUUUUGGGAACAACUUCAGAAAAGUAAAUAAAAUAUUCUUCUUGAAGCCCGUUCAAGCAAAAGCGAAGAUGGAUGAAGCUUCAUCGCAAGACCACCCAUGAGCAGUGUCCCUUCGAUGAAUGGGUGGUCGGCCGUUCAUCCGUCUGAUGGGUCGAAGAAGAAAACUUAGGUGUACUGUCGAAGUUGAUUGUGCAAUUUUCUCUUUUCCUGUUCCUUUUUUUUAAUUUGAUGCCCCCUCUACUUGUUUUUGCCUUUGGGGGAUCCUUUGUUUCUAAUCUUUUGAGGGCAUCUAAUCUGGUGGGAGAUCUUCUUUUUGGGUGGAGGGGAAGAUGAGCUUUUGAAAGUGAUGGUGCCCUUUUGAUGCCUUUUUAAUUUAAUGACUGGUGGUUGGGUUAGGUUAGGUUCUCUUUUGUGGGUUGCGAAAGCCAUUCCAGUGGCUUUCGCAAGAUACAAGCUCUAUAGCUUGUGGAUUGUUGUGUUGUAAAGUAUGACAAAGGGAGUUGGCAAAGAAAAAGCUCCCCAGAAAAACAAAAAAACAAAAAAAGGUGAAAUGGAUGUCUUCUUCUGCUUCAUUCUUUUCCUGGGAAAUUUGCUUUUGACCCCUGCUUGGUGCCAACACAGUUCUUGCACAAAUAUGAUUUAUGAUUUCUUUGUUAAUCUCUUUUUCAGUAUAAUUAUGUGGGAAAUUGCUCUGCAGGACAGGCUUAACAAACACUUAUGUAUUUUUGCUUCUUAUUAGUAUGUGAUGCUUAAAUGAAAGGUGGGUAAUAAGAUGAUAGCUUUUUUUUUUUUUUUUUUUUUUUUUUUUUUUUUUUUUCUUUUUUAAACUAUAAUGUGUGUCUAAGAACCAGAGAAUGCAUCAAUCAUUGUGCAAUUAGAAUAUCGUGAAGGGUUAGCUAAUAAUUCAUGACUUGUAUUAUUAUAUGUUUCCACGCACUAUCAUGGGGAAUCAGAGACUGUAAAGGAAAUUUGUUCAAUUAAUAUAUAUAUAUGCUGUACGAAGUGUAAAUUGAUAUCUACAUGUAUUAGUCUCACCUUUUUAAAAUUUUAUCUCGGAUUAUGUUUGAACUUGCCCCAUCUCUUAAAAGAGUGAUUUUAUGCAUAGCUCAAAUAAACUAGAUGAGUAAGUUGUCUUUUAUGUGCAUUGGCAAAACCAGUUAUUGAAAUGGCCGAGCAAUUAUUAUAUAAUAGAGAGCGAUGUGUAUAUCAUAAAUAGAACUAUAAUCACAGUUGUCCUAUUUAAAUAAAUGAUAGAUGCGUUACGAUUUGAUAUAUGUAUUUUAGUCUUUUAGUCAAUGAGAAUAGAGUUUUCCUCAAAGCACAAAUUAAGCCUACCUCUAGAGGUGAGCUUGAAGGAUGUACUCUCUUUUCAUUAUUAUAUUACUAUUAUUUAUUUUUUACGAACAAAUUUUUUUUUCAUUCGGAGUCUAUGGCAUUGAAUUAGGAAAGGGGCUUCAUGGAGCCCCUAAUCAGGUACUCUAAUUUUAAGUAUUAACAUAUUAAGCAUUGCUCCAAGUAAUAGUACGGAUAAAAUUAUUAUCGACUAAUUUAAGUACUCUAAUUUAAUGUACCUUCGAAAGUUUGUAAUGGGCAUAGCAUAUUACCCAGAUUUUGAAUACAAGUUUGCAUGGCAAGCAAUUGGCGACCUCCUAUCAUUUACAGCAAACUUGCUUCUUAUUCUAUCCCACUAUUUUUAUUCUUAUUUAUUUAUUUAUUUAUUUAUUUUUCUAUGUGGAGCACAAGACAAAAACAUGUCAUUGUAACAUCCACAGAGGUAUCCCAAACUGCUGCUAUUUAACGUGAUCCUCAAACCACAUACGUAAUUACGUAUACGAAUUUGCUUUCGAUUAAAAAGAUUCCAUUAAGAUUCAGAUAUUUGGUACUUCUAUAUUGAAGCAAAAGGAAAAUGAGUGGCUACUGCUUGUCUUUUGAAUUAUCUUGAUGGCGAUUUGCGAGAAACUGAGCUCAUCACUCCCUGAUUUGGCGUCGUUGCUUUGGCUUCUUUACUUUUUAAGCAUUUUAUUUGACUUCACUACGCGAGGUAACGAAAAGACAACAGAUAUGAAUUUAUGCAAUUAACCACUUAUUAGAAAUUUACGAUGUUAUUACUGGAAUAAUUGCUCUCGCAAAUAGUCUAAACAUUAAUUACUUAGAUAGAGCACCAUCAGCCUCUUCACUCGUGAGGUUUAAGUUAUCCCUUUUGUUUACAUUUCUCUCUAUUUCCUAGUUUAAACUCUGUGAAUUAUGAAUUGGAUAAAUAAAGCAUGUGCAGGACCACUUUAGAUCAUAGAAGAUGUUGAAUCCUGUUAUUACACACUAUUCAUCUUCUAAAAUAAGUUUCGAAUAAUCAAAAUUAGUUGCCGUACAACACGAAAAAUAAUGAGUCAGCAAUGUUUUGUAUUUAUACUUCCGUUUACAACACUGAUUCUGAGAUUUAAGUACCACAAAAUGGCUGUUUUAAAUAGUAGGAGCAGGGCUUAUUCUGAUUUAGAAAAUACCAACCAAAUCAACAACAUUGCUAAAAGUCGAAUGAACAUAAGCCCUGCUAGACACUCAGGUAAAUUUUCUCAGUAUGUGACCGAAAAUACCAUCUACUAACAUGACAUAUUAUUAGGAUGUAUUUCUCAAGUAAUUCCACAAGUGAGCUUUACCUGUUAUAAAAGAUUCAGAAAUUAUUUUCUCCCUCCCUAGAUGUUCAGUAGCAUCAGAAAGAAACAUUCAUGAAAUGUGCCCAUACAAACUACAUUAAGACAAUAUGAAUUAUAGAAAAAGAAAAUUAACAAACAAAAUUGUCAUACAAGGUGGCGCACAUCGCUUUGACAUUUAUCUUACCCCCCAAACAAAACACAUAUGAUUCAAAUAAGUGUUACACUUCUUACAAAAUAAAAACAUGACAGAUGUGAAAAGGAGUGAGCAAAUACAAACUUUGUUGCGUGCUAAGAGCAACAAUCCGACAGUCCUGCGAGUACCCCGCACUUGAGAAGCAAAGUGUAUGCAUUUCACUUAAUGAUAAUAACUCUAUAAUCGCAAAGAUCAGAGCACUUAUGACACUAUUGCUCUCAAAGGGAAAAUGGUAAAAGUUCCUGGCGCAGCUCUUCUUUAAAUAAAACAGCGCCACUCUAAAAAUACUCGAAAUCAAGGUAAGAAGAACCACUAGAGUCGCACUUCCCUUCUGAGGUAGUAACCCCAGAGACGAUAACAGCCUCUGCCGCCUUCUUCUCCUUACUAACAACAGCAAAUUGUCCAUAGUUCACGGGAUCUGGAACAUGUGGCGGGCUGGCGCUCCUCACCAACGCCCAAUUCACGCCCUCAAAGAACGGAUGCUGCUUAAUCUCUGUCGCACCCUUCUGAUAUGCGAACCGUUUUCCCGGAUCCUUCACAAGUAAUCCGCGAAUAAGAUCCUGUGCAGCAGAGCUCACAGGUGGAGAAUCCGGAAAUCUUAGUGGCUGCCCUAUAACAUUGAAAAGCGUGGCGCGGUUACCCGACCCCUUGAAAGGGGUGUUCCCGUACAAGAGCUCAUACAGGAAAAUGCCGAACGUCCACCAAUCAACUGCGCUGCCGUGCCCCUCUCCUUUGAUGAUUUCUGGUGCGAGGUACUCGUGGGUCCCGACAAAUGACAUUGACCGCGCGUUCGUGGGCUCUGCCAUGAAUUCCAAGGACGAGCGAUGGCCCAUCCCAAAGUUGGAUCUUGAUUUGCGGUGUUUCUUUGGGAAAAUGCGGGGGAGGAAUGCCGAUGGUUGGAUGCAGACCUGGAUGAUGCUCCCACCGUCAAGCAUGCCUUUGCCACUGCUGUUGAUGGCAGAGUGGACAGAAGAGGAUUUGACAAGGGUCGGGCUAACGGAGCAUUGCAGGGAGAGGUCAAAGUCAGAGAGCAUGAUGUGGCCCUCUUCCCGGACCAGCACGUUUUCCGGUUUCAGGUCACGAUACACGACACCAAGCAUGUGCAGGUACUCAAGCGCGAGCAGCACCUCGGAUGCAUAGAAUCUACUUGGAACAAAGAAUAUGAAAGGAAUAAGGAUCUCCACAAUUCGAGCUAACCAUAAAGAAUUUCUGAAUAGAGGAGGAUUGUAGUAAAGGGGUAUCAACUAUCAAGUUUGGAUGGCCACCCAAAUUAAAGUGGCAAAAGUUCACAUAUGAACACAUUCUACAUGUUUAUAUACAUGCAUGACAUACUGAGUAUUCCAUAAUAACAACUCCAUGCGACAAUUCUAUCAGUUCAUAUAUUGGAUUUGGAUCAUAUGAAAUCAAAUUGAGACAUUGAAUGCAACAAAGAAAAUCAUUUUCCUUCCAUUCUUUUACUUCCAAUCAUGAUUUACUAUUAAAUUUUUUUGAUUAACUACAAUAUUAAUACCUGAUGUUCGACUUUGAUUUCAAUUUCAUCCUCGUUUUUUCAAUUGUAACAAAUAUAGUCCCUGAAAUUUAUUUUGCAGGAGAAUUGUGUUGUUUGUUAGUCUGCCUUGUGGUAAAGGCACCACAUCAGCAAUAUCUUUUUAGACUUGCUUUGCUAAAAUCAGAACUGGAGAACCUAAAAGCUUAUAAUAAGUCCACUUCCUUUGCCCACAAGAACCUUCAAUAUAAACAUCCAUGCAACUAUUCCUGUGUCUCUGUUAUAGAUAUCCUAGCUCAUUUAUCUAGACCUAUCAACAGUACUCUAGAAAUAAACGUUUUAUCAAGGCAACUGAUAAUUUCCCUUCUCAUUACCUAGUUCAGAAAAUGAUUUCAAAACCACCACAAAGUUUUAGAUCACAAAAGCAAGAUUACCCAAUCAUUUUGCACUCAGAGAACGUGAAAGUUGUGACCUGAAGAAUAAGUGUUAAAGAGAAGGCCAAAGUGCUGAAAAGAUCAGAAUUCCUUUUCCCAAUUAAGAUACAUCGCAGCCUACAGACUCAGCAAGCUUGAAGUACACAAGAUAAUAGAGAAACAUCUCUCUUACUCAAUAAGCACCAAAAUUCUAGCAUUAGUAUAGCACAAGAAAAUUUAGCCAUAAUUAAUCUGACAAAGUUGCUUAUAUAUGCAGCAACAAUUAUAUAGAUAUAGGAAAAGAAGAUACAGAAAGAAUAAGUACAAUCACCAAACAAAAGGAAAAAAAGAAGUCUCAGCUUACCUUUCAAGAAAGAAAAUAAAGGCUAACUCUCACAGAAGCAAACUAUCUGCAGAGAAGAUUAUUUUUUAAAAAAGAAGAAGGAAAGAAUCUCACCUAGCAGCUUGUUCAGUGAAAUACUUAUUAGGCUGCUUCUGUCGGAGAGAAUGGAGGUUCCCACCAUUGCAGUACUCCAUGACCAAGCAAUAAAACUUCUCCGACUCAAAGUGUGAGUAUAACGUUGGCAAGAAGGGAUGAUCGAGAAGGCUCAGAAUCUCUCUCUCUGUCUGUGCCCUAAUAAGCUUAUUUCUAUUGACAAGGGAUGCCUUAUCCAUCACUUUCAUUGCAAAAAAUGUACCGGUUCCCCUAAGUUCAACAAGAUAGACACUACCAAUAUCCCCAUAUCCCAAUCGCUUGAGGAGCCUAAAAUGACCUAAACUAAGGGGUGGGUCUCUAGAAUUAGCCAGUUGGACGGCCUCCCAACGGCAAUCACCACCGGUGUGCCGUCUUAUGUUUGGCAUGGGAGUGUUACCAUCUAUGCUAUCACUCCUAUCGCUACUGACACUGGAUCUGUUUAGUGUGGUGUUGGAAUCAGUAUAGUUUCCAGCGCUAGUCAUUGUAUAUGCAGUAAUUGUAUGUACUUCUGUGGAGUUUGUGGUUGAUAGUGAGGUAGAAUUUGUUUCUGAGAUUGUCAGCAAUUUGGGACUUGGACAUGCGGUUGGGUAGUGACUUGGCCCACUUGGGUAUGUAUCCAAAUUCUUCAAAUAAAAAGCACUGUCGUUGUCGAUUGUUUCCAAAUUUGUCUUGUUGCUUGAUGGUCCCUCAUAUGUUGCUUCUGGGUUUGCAAAUGAUCGAGGGCUUGGGCACGGACUAGGGAAGACACGAGAGGUAAUGUCAUGUUGAGAGCAUUUUGUAGAUUCCAGGAUGGUACUUGCAGUCAUCUCCAUUUAAUUGUAAUUUAAUGAUGUGUUGUUGCAUGACAUCAAAUUCACCUGAAACAUUGAGUGGACAAGUAAUUAAAUAGGCACACAGCAUGUGCAGCUUGGUAAAUAACUAAGACAAAUUUAGGCUGAAAGGGUUUAAUCGUUAUAUAAAGAGCGCAAAGAAGCGACCAACGAAGAGAUGUUUGCUGCGCACAACACAUCAUAUUGGAAGAGGAGAACCAAGUUGCACAGAGUACCAUAAGAAUAUUAAUAAGUUCUUGGCAAUUAGAUUAUUAAUUAUUUCUCUUCAAAAUUUGCUGUUAACCGACAUCAAAACUAUAGCAUAAGGUCUGAAGAUCAAUUGAAUAUAGCAUAGCAAGCCCCUAUUAACUAUAAUUUUGGUGAAAAUGAUUGAAAUCAUUACGCGCCAACUACUGCCUACUAGAAUAAAACUUCGAAAAUGAUAGAUUAUCAUGAAAUUGGGGUAAAAAUGCAUCCCAACAAACCAUUUAAUAGAUAAAAGAUGAAAGCACUGCACAAUUUAUUAUGCUUAAAAUCAACAUUCAUAUUAAAACACGUCCGAAUUAAAGGACAUAAAAAUGCUGAGCAAAACUAGAAGCAAGAUAUUGAAAGAAAAUAGCAAAUUUUGACAAAGUAGCAUCCAAGCAUACACACUUAACACCUCUGCAAAUAGUAUAUGAUCACGACGAACAUACAUAAAAAGCUAAGAUCAAAAGUUACUACCAAUCGCAAUUCACAAAACAUUACCGAUUAAACAAUAUCUGCACAAUCCGAAGCCUCACACUAACCCUAACCCUCCUCCACUAAAACCACAACGAGAUCUCUCCGACGGAGAAGGUCGAAUCGGAAACUCCCAUAGCUCUCUCCCCGAAUCCAAAAGGGGGGAAAGAGUGAAGACGAAGAGGAGAGAGACGCCCCGGAUAAACCGAUGUGCGUGAUCGAAUACAUUGUUGCUAAAUUUAAGGGGAGAAAAAAAAAAUUAGAUAGAGGAGAGACGUGGGAGGGUGAACGGAGAGAUGAGGGAAUUGGUCGUGGAAGAGCACAAAGAGAGAGAGAGAGAGAGAGAGAGAGAGACGAGGGGGAAUGGGCGAACCAAUUUUUGGUGGGGAUGGUCCCCAACUCGAGACGAUCAACUUCGCUUGCUUUCAGAUUCGUGCCGGUUUUGUGAUGGACGAUGGAUGUGGUGUCCGUGUCCCCCACGAAUUAAGAGAGAUUUGAACAAAUAGGAAUUUUAAUAAGUGUAGUAUAUAUAGAUUGAGGAAGGAUUAGAGAAAGAACCACGUGGAGGGCUAAAUAUUGGAUGGUGCAUGAGUGCGAGAUGCACCGGGUUCUGAAAGAAAAAAAGGGCAAAAAGAAAAAUAAAAAAAAUUGAUAUAAUGCAAGUGGGGAUGUUAGUUGUAACCUCCUUGUAUCUAAUUAAUUACUCGCAAUAAUCAGUGAACGAAAACGGAUUCGGGCAAGAGGCGAGAAAAAAAAAAAAAAUGAUCUGCCCCACAAACGUUUUUUAUCCGCUCCGAAUCCGACUUUAAUUUUCUCUAUAUAUAACCUCUCAAUAAUGGCACAUUUUUUUUUAAAAAAAUUAUAUAAUAUAAAUCUUAGGUAUUUGUAUAUCCGAGAUUCAAAAUUUAAAAUAUAAAUUAUUUUAUAUUUUUAAAUAAAUAUUUUUUUAAAAUGAGGAAAAUUAAUAAUUUACUUUUUUUUUUUUUUUUUUUUUUUUUUGAGAGAUAUCUGUUUUAUUUAUUUUAUUUAAAAAUAAGCUUAACUGAAAAUAUAAAUCAACUAGAAUUUAAAUUUAAAAUUUCGUCAUCCAGCGAUCCUUUUUGCCACUUGUUCGGUUCACAUUAAAAAAAACACAUUUAUGACUCUAUAAAUAGAGGUCUAAAACCUAACCCUAAGUCAAUCUGUUCCUCUCCGACUCCCACUCGGAGCCGACACAUCUCUCCUCCCUCAAAUCUCUUCCUCCUCUCCUCCGCCUUCUGCUGCAAGUCUCAAAUCUGCUUUCUGCCCUCCCUCAACAAAUUGAUUUGCUUUCUGCUCUGAACAAAUUGAUUUGCUUUCUGCUCUGAACAAAUUGAUUUUGUUAUUGAAUGUAAAGGAAAUGAUGGCAUGAAAGUAAAAGGUCUGAGUAGGAGAGCAUUGCAUUCUUAACCCAAGGUAGAGGGCCCUCGCCCUUGCUCGAGUCGUAGCACUGCGGCUCUCGCAACCUCUUCUACAACAACAACAAAUAUCUUCUUGUCUUUUCCAUGCGUAAGCGUGGAAUCGGGGUCGGAGUAAAAGGCGUGGGCCGCGUCCGGAGACGUGGACGCCGGCCUAGACCUCUCCCUACAUUCCGAUCAGAGUCCCUGCGAUAAUCCAAUGACUAUCAAUGCUCUCCCUCGCUGAUCAAAUCCUUUAGUCUGAUCCUUUCAUCUGCAUUCACUUAUUAUUGCCUAAAUUGUUAUAUACUUAUAUUGGAUUAGCCUAUUUAGAUUUCAAAGUUUUUCGCGUCAAAUUGUCGACACCAAAAAGGAGAAAAGGUUUCUUUUGAUAAUCGAACACAUAGAGCAGAGUCGCUGCCAUUAUGUGUUUGGUAGUACCCAGCUGAUUUUGCUAUUCUCUCUAAAAUUUUUCUGAGAAUACAUAAUCGCAGUAGUUACAAUUACUGUAAUUCAUCUAAACACUGCUAGCUAGGGAAUAAAUUUCUCCCAGAUGAUUGAAACAAAAUCCGAGUCAGGAAUGGAAAACCUCCUUUAUUAUGCUUUCUCAUGCAG